CAUGUUGGGGAAACAAAGACAGACACAAAGACAUACAAACAUAUAUACGUAUAUAUACGACGGGCUUCUUUCAGUUUCCGUCUACCAAAUUCACUCCCAAGGCUAUAAUAGAAGACACUUGCUCAAGAUGCCACGCAGUGGGACUGAACCCGGAACCAUGUGGCGGGGAAGCAAGCUUCUUACCACACAACAACGCCUAUAUAUAUAUACAUGGCGUGGGUAUGUGGUUCUCAGUUACAUGCUCCUGGGUUCAGUCCAACUUGGAUAGCUAUCUUCUACUGUAGACUUGGAACUACCAAAGCGUUGUGAGUAGAUUUAGCUGAGGGAAACUGAGAAAGGCCCGUCAUAUACAUGUAUGUAUAUAUAUAUAUAUGUGUGUGUGUGUGUGUGUGUGUAUUCUUUUAUUUGUUUCAGUCAUUUGGAUGCGAACAUGCUGGAUCACCUUAAAGGUGAUUUUGUCGAAGAAAUCGACCCCAGGACUUAUCCUUUCUAAGACUUAGUACUUUUUCUAAUGCUUCUUUUUGCCGAACUACUAGUUCACUGGGACAUAAACAUACCAACAUCGGUUGUUAAGCGAUGGUGAGGGGAUAAAUACAAACACAAAGGCACACUCACACCGACAGACACGCAUACGCACACACAUACACAUUCUUUCAGUUUCGGUCUACCAAAUCUGUUCACAGGGCUUCGGUCAUCCCGAGGCUAUAAUAGAAGACACUUGCCCAAGAUGCCACACAGUGGGACUGAACCCGGAACCAUGUGGUUAGGAAGCAACCUUCUUACCACACAGCCACGUCUAUAUGUAUUCUGUCGUGUCUGAACAGACCAAGCGGACCUUUAACAGAUUGAGAUUCGAUUCUUCCCGUGUAGAAACAUUCAAAUAUUUACACAUACACACACAUAUUCAUACCUAUGCAGCAGCCCAGUCCCACACCACUCGCAUGUAAGCAUGAAUGAAUUUACAUAUGUGUGUAUGUGUAUGUGUGGUUGUUUAUCAGAGUCAGCUUGUAUGUAGUGUAUCUGUGUGAGCACCGUUAUACACAUAUACACACAUAUGCGCAAGUACAUAUUCAAUAUAAAUCACUUUCCUUAAUUGAAAUCCUCCGAGAUCGAAGCAAAACAUCAAAAAUCAGUGUGUAACUGACAAAUCCGUCAAAUUCGUUUAGCUGGUUUAAUAUUCUUUCUAUUUGAAUUUGCUUUCUCGCAAGAAAUAGUGUUUUGCAUUAUUUAUUAUUCAAAUCUGGCCCAUUAAUCUUUAUAUAUAUAUAGGUGAAUGUAUGUUCCAAAUUCUAGGUCACCAUUCUUCACCGAGAUAGAUGAUAAUCUGAAUAUGUGGCAUAAAUCUUGGAAGAUGAGUAUAUAAAAUGAGAGAUCUUGUUCCUGAAAAUUUUCAUCACCAUCAUCCUUCGACCAAUGAUAGGUUGGUCGGAACUCCAUUGGCAUUCCCUUUCCACACUACACGAUCCUGCAUUGCUUUGUCAGAUCUCUAAUAUCCAGCCCUGAGUCCCAAGAUAUAGUAUUUCUCUGCUCGAUAACAGUGGCCAGUAAAUUGUAGUCGUUUCUGCCUUACCUUGAGGGAUAUUGGUAUCAGAUUUCUGUAGAUGUUACUAAGUGUUUUUUUUUACACGUACUUCAUAAGCACUGAAUAUAUACACAUAUGAGAGAAGUAUGUGUGUAUGCGUAUGUUUGAAGGCACGUGACCUAGCGGAUAGGGGUUUCGGACUCAAGAUCUUGCGAUCGUGAUUUCGAUUCCCGGACCGGCAGUGCCUUACGCACUUCAGCAAAACACUUCCUUUCAUGCAAUUUCAGUCUAUCCUGUUGUUAAUGGGUGAUCCUGCAACGGACUGGUGUUCCGUUCCAGAGGAAUGUUGGCCUGCCUGCCGAGACAGCGACGUUGCAUAUUUCGAAAGCUGCAAAAAUGUGAGGAAGCGCAUUGUGACCAGCAGUAUAUAACAACAUACGACAGUCUGGUCAUUUAGAGUAAUUGUGUAACCUUAGUACAGUCUUUUACUUGUUUUAGUAUUUGUGGGGUGAGGAACAAAUUCAUGUUUCCAAAUGCGAGAAUAAAACUUUAGAUUAGGUCCCGUAUUUGUUUAUAUUUCGUGUAUUGUAACGAAGUUUCACGUGAGCCAUCUUCUGCAUGACUUGUAAGAAGGAUUUCUGAAUAAAUUUGCAUCCUUGAAGUCAGCGAAGCAUUUCAGCAUUGCUUUAACGCAAAUUAAAACAAGGAAUUCAUGCAAUUAUUGUUUCUUUCGGUAUAAAUAAUCUCAGACAAGACUGGUUAUAGCUGCAAGAUUACAAUAUAAUCACACCGUGUGAACUUUUAUUGAUUACUGACUUUUUCCAAAUUUAAUAUUCGAAUACUAACUAUAUCACUGGCGGCGAGCUGUCAGGAUCGUCUGCACGCCGGGCAAAAUGCUUAGCGGUAUUUCGUCUGCCGUUACGUUCUGAGUUCAAAUUCCGCCGAGGUCGACUUUGCCUUUCAUCCUUUCGGGGUCUAUUAAAUAUGUACCAGUUACGCAUUGGGGCCGAUACAAUCGACUUAAUCCGUGUGUCUGUCCUUGUUUGUCCCCUCUGUGUUUGUCCCCUUGUUGGUAGUAAAGAAAUAGGUAUUUCGUCCGUCCUUAAAUUCUGAGAUCAAAUUCCGCCGUGGUCGACUUUGCUUUUUAUCUUUCCGGGGUCGAUAAGAUAAGAACCAGUCUAACACGCCUGGGCCAGAGUAUAAAAACUGCACCCCAUUGCCAUGUCGAGCCAGUGUUACAAGAUAAGAUCAUCAAGCUAGUAUGAUCUCCCGGGAGAAAAGAACAUGCUGAGGCCUUCGUUCUGCAGUGGACUGAACAUAGGCAACCCAAUCCAACCCAAUUAUUUCACUAACCCCUAUAUUUGAAUAGUAUGCCUUUGAUGAGAUUUGAACGCAGAGGAUUGAAUGUCAAAGCUACAUAUUUUCACUGAAACAUCAUUCCACUUACUCUCAGACACUUGGCUUUCAUAUCUAUGUUUAAGACUAUUUCCAAAUUAGUUUGUUCCACGUUACCAGCGAUCGAGUUUUUAACCAUGUUGCUCUUGCCUUAAUUAGGCUUUAUAAAUUUGAAGUAGGAAAGCGGUUCUUAUGGUCUCAGUGUAUGUAGACGACACUGUAAGUAAGUGGUAUCAAUAAUCUAAAUCGAGUAUUCUUCACCAUUACAUGUGAAGUAAAUAUGUACAUGUGAAAACGUGGAAGAUUCAUGUGUUUGUAUUGCUUUAGCGAAUGAAAAAUAUAUCUCAACUAAAUAGAAUGCACGGCUCAAUGAAAUUUUAGAUUUCGUGUAAGAUCAAUUUUCUAAGGACAGUAACUUCCUUACAAUUUCAACGUUAUCGAAGAAGACCACCAAAGUAGGAGAAUUUAGAAAUGUAAAAUUAAGUGUCAUGUCCUCAAUCAGCGAAACACGUACAACUGAUAUCAACUAACAAAAUCCAGCGGUUCAUCAGUUUGAAACAAUUUUUAAUCAACACACUUGUUAUAUUGUUCAAAGCUGCAAAUGAUAUCGUAUUGCUUUUACACCUCUUUUUACAAUUCAGUUUGUUUUACCACUGGCUUUCAAAAGAUGUGUUUGAAAGGUUUAGAAAACCCACACUAAUCUUUAUAGAUCAGUUAUUAUCGAAUUUUCUUUUUUAUCCACAAAUAUCAACGACGUUGAUACACACACACACUUUUUGUGAACAAAUGCUGAAAAAUACGCAUGUUGUUUAUAUCCUCCCUGAUGAGAUUGAUGCAUUGCUCCACAUUAUUCAUCCUGUCGGAUUUAUUUUGAAUGCACUAAUCGAAACAUGUCGAUGAUAUGAAGAUAUAAAUGAUUUAACAUCAUUUUGAGCGUUUGUCUCCAUUUUCAAUUUUUCCCAUGUUCUCCAAAACACGCGACGCUUCUCCCCGGAAUUAACUCCAACAGAAGUGUGAUCACUUAUUCCUAAGACACUUAUGGGACAUCCGGCUACCUUGUAAUUAUUUCCCUGGAUCUUUCCUAUGUAUGUAAGUAUGUAUGUGCAUACGACGAACGUAUACAUAUAUAUAUAUAUAUAUAUGACACACACGUUUUCAGAGUAUAUGUAUGUAUGUAUGUAUAUAUGUAUAUAUAUAUAUAUAUAUAUAUAUAUAUAUAUAUAUAUAUACGCAUAUCUAUGUACAUAUCAGAGUUGUAAGAAUACAGGGUUCGUCAGUAUUUUGAGAACGCACCUUUCAAGAUCUCUAAUUUUAUUUUUCUUAUUUUAACCUUCCCUUUCAGAUAAGUAAUAUCAGACAUAAGGUUGGCCCACCAAUGAAAAAGCACGCUAUAAUCGUUGCCUUAAAAGCGCUGCAUUGUGAUACAGAAAUAGCUCGCUUCCUGGAAAUUUGCCGAUCUUUCGUUGUCGAAGUUUCAAGGGAGAUGAGUUCCAAUAUGAGCAGCUAAACGCAAAAUGUAUGCACAGGCUUCUUAUACCAUCAGAACAAAUAACUUUGAGCAAAAAGUCCAGGACAUAAUCGGAAAGUCAAUAAGAGCCAAUUCAAAGGACCUAAAGAUUUGAGAAUGUGCACGAGGACAUCUUGUAAAAGUUGUAUGUGAUACGGAUGGGUCAGUCUGUUUCGGAUAUGACAAAGGAUAAUUGUUUCAUCUGUGCACAGUGCUUUGCUAAACAAGUUAAAUCACGAAGAGGCUAGAAUGCUUUGUUUUUCUUUCCGAUAUGAAAAUGGUAAAUCGAUGGAACAACAGAUCGCUAUACAUAGACACGAAUGAACUUUCGAAAGUCAUGCAUACUAAGUUCCCAGCAACUGUGGGGAUUCUGGGAGUCGUCAGCAACGAGGAAUGUGUCCUAGUCCUAACUCAUUUUCAGAGGUUUAAGAGUCAAUGCUGUUCUUUACACAGAAGUUUUGGAGAAAGUUGUGAGGCCCAGGAUUAACAGAACACGCAACAGAAGACCGUACAUCUUCUAACAAUGCUCUGCGCCUGUUUCAUAAAGGUAUGACAGUCCAAGCGUGGAUGCAUUCCAAUCGCCAUGACUCUGUUCUCCAAGAUAGAUGGCAUACUAGUUCACCAGAUCUCAAUCCACUAGACUAUUACGUAUGGAUCGAGGUGGACAGUUCAAUCAACAACCCUACAUUACCAUAAAAUCUCUCAAGUUCACCAUAUCACACACAAUGUGCAAAGUUAAUAAAAGUCAUUUGAUUCGGAGUUGUCAACGCUUCCGACCCCGUAGUGAAGCAGCCAUUGAUGCUAACGGUGGUUUCAUAUAAUAGGUGUGAGAAAAGGAUUCUCAAGAUUAUUUGUAUCAGCUUGUUUUCAAAUACAGUUUUUCUCUGAUGGGCAACGCGUCUUACUCUAAAUUCAUACAAAUGAAUUCAAAAAUACUGACGCACACUAUGAUUACCGAGAUCGAUUUAUUUGUUCGACGAAAUACUUCAGUGUGGUGUCCAGCAUGGCGGUAGUCAAGUUAAGUUAAUUUAAUUUAAUUUUUUGGCUCAAAAAGCAAAAAGCAAGGCCAUGUAGGGGGACAUGGAGUUAUGUACAGGGGUGUUCAUACAAAGGGUUCAGGCCAUUUCUGGUCAAGAGAGACUUUGAACCGAGCGGUCGUCGGCAUCUUCACUAUCUCGUCAGGCAGCUUAUUCCACGGAUCCGCAACCCGGACGGAGAAAGCCCCUCUCCUUCGAUUGAGAUAAGCAGAAGAUAAACAAAUAAACGAGAACAUUUGUAGCAACUACAAAAAUAGGAACUACGAAAAUAGGAGAACACCUCCACAGGCCAGUUGGUCACAAGUUAAAGUGAUUUAGCGAAUGUAAAUUUUCACCGAGCUGUUUAGGAUUCAAUUGUUUGAACAACGAAUAAGAAGAUUUGCAAUGCACUGUUUAUUGCUACAGAAUAUUUACAAGGACAAUAAGUUAUUAACGUAGUCGAUCUAGCUUCAGAUAUAUUACGUUCCAUUUCUAGUAUAUCCUAUGAUGUAUCAUAAUAAAGAUUAAUUCAUUCUCUUCAUUCGUUAUUAUGGUGGCUGCUGUUGUUGUUGUUUUUGUUCAACCUUAGGUUACUUGCGAUUACGAAGUUUGAGCGAAAGUAUGCCAGCCUUGACCAUCUCGUCAUUUAUGGCAGAUAUCGGGGACAGUGUUUUCUAGUCCAUCGUAUGUUUUGUAAAAGAGUAGGAUUAAUCUGAGAGAGAUUUGCUGCUAUUUUUAGCAAGUCGAGUGAUCACAUAAAAACUUCCUAGUUCUAUAUUUGACAUAAGGAGAUCAUUUCUUAAUCUCCUUGAGCUCUUACAAAGACACACACAAAGACACACACACACACACACUUCUUGGCGUGUGUUUGCACACAUGUAAACAUAUGCCGAAAAAUACGCAUAACAUAUACAAACAUUCAAAUAUAUAUGUUUGUGAUUAAAUGUGUGCGUAUGUAUGUGUAUACAUACAUACAUACAUAUAUAAUAGAUAUAUCUUUAUAUAUAUGAUAUAUAUAUAUAUAUAUAUAUAUAUAUAUAUAUAUAUAUAUAUAUAUAUAUAUAUAUGUGUGUGUGUGUGUGUGUGUAUGUGUGUGUGUGUGUGGAUAUCUGUGAAUAUGCACACAGAUACGAAUACUUAUUAACUUACUCAUAAACCUAUUUACACACGUAUGCAUGCAUACAUAUACUAAAACGCAGAUACGAAUAUUCAUAGAUGUACACAAACUUCCACAUACAUAAACUCAUGCGAGCAUUAUAUACAUGCAUACAUACUGAGUGGUAAAUUUACACAUGUACUGAUAUGUACAUACAUACACAUAUACAUGCCAGCACAGUUUUUUCACGAGUUUCCUACUUGUCUUCGUCCACAGAGUACGACCCUUUACAGGACUUUUGAGUCUAAUGGGAGGAAGCCAUGUUUUGACUUAUGACCUGGCCCAGUUGCAUGAAGCAGAGGAGACACCGCUAAAGGUAAAGUUAGUUUUGUUAAAGCAGGUCAUGGCUUAAAUCUAUCACCUAAGAACAAGAAAUAACUUUUCAAUCACAAAAUUUUCAAAGUAUUUGAAUGAUGGUAUGGUACAAAGCACAUGCCUAAUGGGCAGUGCAGUGAUUACUGGCUUAUACAAAUUUUAUAUAUGCAUAUAUACCUGUAUGCAUACAAGCAUGAAUGUAUUUUACGUAGGCAGUUCAUACAUGAAAACAAAGGUAAAUAUAGAAAGAAUUGUUACAAAGUGAAUAAGGAAGCUUAAAUAACGAGGGAAUUUAAAAAAAAAUAUGUGUAGUAAUAUUUUGAAGUUAUUUAAAGGAAUGGAAGUAGUAGAAAAAGUCUGUUUAUGUAUGUAUUUUCAGUCUAAGGAGUGGCGUUUCGUACUUGCGUAAUAGUUGUUUUUUGAAGUGUUUGCUUUUCUCGAAGACCUUUGAUCUGAUAACUAAAUAGGAGAUUUGUUCAUGAAAGUUUUGUGGCAAUACUACGUCUCUCUUUUGCAAAUGUGACAAAUUUUAUUUCCAGCUCUCUAGGGUUUGGCCAUUUCGAGGAUGUUGCAUUAAAUACUGCAAUCUGAAGACCUCUUCUUUCAAUUUCCUUGUUAACUCAGCUAAUUCGUUAGACUUCUGUUAUCUAUUUUUGAGGGAAGAUAUAUGAUUAUAUCACAAAGUGUUUGUGGCUAUGCAACGUUUGUGUUUUCUACUAGAUUUCAUUGUGUACAAGUGGCCUUAAAUUUUGUUUUACUUUUCCUCUUUUGCUCAUGUAUUAGGUCUCCUACAUUAGCAUGUACCAGUGUAUGUGAUAUGGUUUUCCAUGCUCAGGUUGAGCAACACGUAGAUUGAAGAUUUUCUGGACAGGAGAAAAGAGUUUGUAUAUUAGGUUUAAAGAGUUCCAUUACGCUUUACAUCGAUCGAAGAGACGCCUGUGACACAUAUGGUAUUACAACACCACUUAUCUCUUUUUUUUUGUAUUUAUGGAACAGUGAAGUGUGUAGGUAAUUUUCCUUUUGAAUCUGCAGGUAUCGAGGCUUUAUUCUAGCAUGAGGGUGUCUUAGCCAACAUGUCCUUAUCCUAAGACAAAUGAGAGCCAUUUGCAAAUAUAAGGUGCUUCAAUAUUACGUCAGGUGUCAUGUUCUUAUGUCAAUGAAAGAGGGUUUUUCAUAUGCUUUGUGAAAGCUGGACUUUAAGUCUAAGGUAUCGUCAAAGAAAUUAACGGCAUUUACUUCAGUGGCUAUUGGUACAUUCAGGCCAAAAGUGCAAGAAGUGUCAAUAAUGUCCUUUAUUAAUGUGUAUAUGAUGUGGCCAAUUGUGCUGCCAGUUAUAGUUAAUUCCUCAUCCCUAUAUAGGCCAAAGUCUGCGGUAGCAAAUUUCUAUGUAGGUAUAAUUAAAAUCUAUAAUCCUGUGAUAUUGCAUAUAUAAGCGCUGUCUAUAGUUACGUCGAAGGUACCUGUUAGCCCUGUGUCUUUUUUUACUCAGAAUUUAUAUUUAACAGUAGGCAUGCAUUGUUCUAUCAACGUAGCAUGCAUUAUUAUAUCAACGCUGUUAACGACUAUUGCAUCGUAGUUCUUAACCAAAAUCGAUGGUGGACGAUGCAUAAUAAUGUUUUGGACAGAGAAGAAUAAAAUCGACAAUGUUGGCAUCAGCAAAUCUGUAAGAUGCCUAGAGAUUUAUUCAAUUUGACACUGUCGAGCUUCAUACUUUUAUGCAAAUGUCCAGAAUGAAACGUCUUAUAUUGUAGACCUGAUCGAUAAGGACUGACCCGUGGCUAAGGAACAACAGUAGCAGUAGCAGCAACAGAAGCUACAAUAUCUACUACAGAAACACCAUUUCCUCUAACAAUAGCAAUAAAACCAACAGUUAUGACAGUCUUAUAAAAAAAAAAAGAACCAUAGCAACAACAAGAACAACAAAGUCCAUAGCGUGAGCCGUAGCAGCAGCAGUAGUACAGUACCAACGACUGAAACCCUAAGCACGAAUAACAAAUACUCCUUCUGUAGCUAUAACAGUAACUGAUAAAUGUUGAUAAUAACUCAUGGUUAAUGAAGCUAUUUAGAAUGCAAGGCGUGAAGUGUUGACCACGGGGAAUAAGCCAUUGAUCACAUAGAUAUUUCACUAUCGCACCUCCAUAUCUACGUUGCAAAUGACAUUGCUUAGACGUUGGCGUAAUAAAGCUAAUGGAACAUGCACUACGGGCUUGAGUUUGUGGGUGUAUAUGUGUGUGUGUGUGCUUGUGUUUGUGCGUGUGUCUGUGUAUGUUGCGUGUAUGAUAAAUACUCAUUAUCUGGACAUGAUGCAUUUUAAUUCGCCUAAUUGAGGCAUUUAUUCACAACGAAUGCGCUGCUUCAAAUCAUUAAAAAUGUGAUAAAGCUAUCUCCAAACAUGUAUUACAAGAACAGUGUAUGCAGCAUUAGUUCAUGAAUUAAAUAUAAAUAUAAAAGUAUGCAGACACACACAUGUAUGCAUAAGUAUGUAUACACACAUAUGUAUAUACUUAUAUUUAUGUUUGUAUGUCUAUAUGCAUGUAUGUAUAUAAGUUCUUCCUCUGAGGAAGGAGAUGAUUUCUAACAAUGAUGCACAGCUCAAUCGCUGGAAUGUAGAUAACGAAGACAAAUUCAGUUUUAAUUUGAAUACAGUCUGGCAUAUUUUUAUUAUUGCACAAACAGAUUUUAUUUGUAAAGUACGAGUCACCUGGCUGAUUUCUUUUUCUGAAAGUUCUAGCUUAUCCAGAUUCUCACUCGCAAAACCUAUGCAUGUAUGUAUGUAUGUAUGCAUUUAUGUAUGUAUGUUUGCAUGUAUGAACAUAUUGAUUUAGUACUUUCCUUAACAGAUAGUCAUGACAACAUAGUAUGUAAGUCAUGAAAUUCUUAGAGGAUUAAAGCAAACAAAAAAACACAGUUCUACAUUUAAGAGAUGAGGAAUUAUGUACAUUAUUUACAAUUGACGGAUAUUUGUCUUCAUAUUGUUUGUUGUUAACACAACGUUUCGGCUGAUAUACCUUCCAACCUUCAUCAGGCGUCUUGGAAAAUUAUUAUUAUUAUUAUUAUUAUUAUUAUUAUUAUUAUUCAGGUCACUGCCUGGAAUCGAACUCGGAAUCCUGGGGUUAGUAGUUCGCGCUCUUACACUACGCUAGGCAAUUUGUAGGCAAUUAUGGGGCGAAUUUUAGGACUUAUAAAUCUAAUAUUCUAUCUUUCCUUAAUACCAGUUCCCAUAUGCUGUUCAUAUCUGCACUUUAUCUCCUUAGGAGAUUGUUGUGUCCUAGCAUACGUGCUGCUGCUUUUAGUUUUCGUAUUUUCCAUUGGCUGGCCCUUGGCGAUAGCAAAAGUCACUUUCAUGUUCUAUGAGGCACCGUAAUGAACCAGGAACCACAUGAUUUGGUUUCACGGGGACCUGCCUUAACCAGACAGACAUGCCUGCACCUAUUUUAACGAGUAAUUGUGAAAUUUGAUUCCCGUUUCUAAACAAGAUUCAUAACUCUGUAACCGAAACAGUGACUUCAUUCCUUUUAUCCUUUCUGCAUAAUUUGCAAUAUCAUUUUAAAACUCUCAUUCGUUUAGAGAUAUGCCCCUGAUGAAGGUCAACGCGCGGGAGUUGAUUUUUAACCAGCUCGGUUACAACAGACAUGUAUGUUGGUUUAUAUAUAACGCGAUAUGAAUGGCCAAGCAUCUGUUUUGCUGCGUUGUGUGGAUUAAGGAAAAAUGAUUAAAUCUGAAUUAUUUUCAAAUACCAAUCAUCGAAGAUAGAUUAUAUUUGGGCGUUUACUUUCUUUCUGUUUGCUUUUCUCUGUUCACCAAAGUCCCAACUGGGGGAAGCACUAUCGGUGAUUCAAGAAAAACUAGUGACAGACACCCAUCUACAAGAGCGCACUAGUAUACUAAUAAGAAACUUGAUGGAAAUGUUGACCUUCUGUGUAGAAACUACCUACCUACCUAUAUAUGUGUGUCUGUAUUUGUAUUAGUUUGCUCACCACUUGACAAUUAAAAGACGAAAAAAUAAAAAAAAGAGCGGUAAAACAUAUUUGAAAGACAUCACGUGACUCAACGUUCAAGCAGUGACCAUCCUAUCCGCCAGAGAUUACCUUACGUAGCCUGUUUCUUUUUAAAAGAUGAUAGAGUGAAAUUUCAGAGAGAUUUACUCUCUUUACUCUUUUACUUGUUUCAAUCAGUUGACUGCGGCCAUGCUGGAGCACCGCCUUUAGUCGGGCAAAUUGACCCCAGGACUUAUUCUUUGUAAGCCUAGUACUUAUUCUAUCGGUCGCUUUUGCCGAAUCGCUAAGUUACGGGGACGUAAACACACUAGCAUCGGUUGUCAAGUGAUGUUGGGAGGACAAACACAGACACACAAGCAUAUACACAUACACAUACAUAUGUAUGUAUGUAUGUAUGUAUGUAUGUAUGUAUGUAUGUAUGUAUGUAUGUAUAGAUAUAUAUAUAGAUAUAUACAUAUAUAUACGACGGGUUUCUUUCAGUUUCUGUCUACCAAACCCAUUCGCAAGGCUUUGGUUGGCUCGAGGCUAUGGUAGAAGACACUUGCCCAAGGUGACAGUAGUGGUGAUUAUAGUUAUAGUUGUUGUUUCUGUAGUAGUAGUUGUUGUUAUUGUCUUUUUUAUUGUUUUGUUUUCGUAGCAGAACUAAAAGGUAUAGCGGAGGCGAACAAAUAUAGAUAUCUACAACAUUAAAAAAAAAUAACUGACGUUAUAAUCCAUAUUAAUUUGCAUAGAUCCGUGUAUAUUUGUGAAUGAAUACACAUUGGGAAAGGGUUGCAUUCACGGAUAAUAUAUAUAUGUGUUUAUAUAGGCGUAUUAAUGUCUGUGAGUAAAGUGUGCUUCGGUCUGUGUAGGAGUGAAUGCGUGCGUGCAUUCGAUGCUAAAACUGCAUAACUAUCAGUCUUAGUAACGAUAAGAUUUAUGUUGAAUUAGGAGAUUAAGUUCUAAAGAACGUGUGUGAUAGGAGAAACCUAAAAUGGCAGUGAAGAGAAGCCUUAGUUUCGAAUGAAUGAAUAAAUAAACUGCACUUUUAUGUUUUAAGUAUUUUAUCCCGUGUGUAUAUGUAUGCUAAUACGUCAGUUUAGUUUCAGAGAAGAUUUUAACCGUAAAAGUAUGUAAAUCACUCCGACACCGUCUGUCUCUCUUUCUUUCUCUCUUUGUCUACGCGUGCGUGUAUGUAUGUCUGUGUGUGUAUAUAUACGUGUGUGUGUGUAUGUGUGUAUAAUUAUGCAAAUAUAUAUAUCUAUAUCUAUCUAUAUAUCUAUAUAUACAUAUAUAUAUAUGUAUAUAUAUAUAUAUAUAUAUAUAUAUAUAUAUAUAAGUAUGUAUGUAUGUAUGUAUGUAUGUAUGUAUGUACGUAUGUAUGUAAUGUAUGUAUACAUGUGGUGCAAAGAUGAGUCUCUCUCUACUUUGAUACUUUCCAUUUCCUCCACUUUCUUCCACGUGUAAAAAGCGAUAUUUAGUGCUGUAUAAAUAUAUACUUAUACAGCAUUAAAUAUCGUGCAAGAGAUAUAUUUAAUGCUGUAUAAAUGUUUAUCUGCAUACGUCUGCGCGUGCAUAUAUAUAUAUAUAUAUAUAUAUAUAUAUAUAUAUAUAUAUAUAUAUAUGAAUAUACAUGUAUGUAUGCAUAUAUAGUCGUAAGUUUAGGUGUGUAGUAUAAGUGUGUCUCUUGGGCGGGUAUCUUCCAGUAUAGUCUCGUACGACCCAAAGCUUUGUGGGUGAAUUUGGUUGAUAGAAACUGGAAGAAACCCGUCGUACACACAUAUAUAUAUAUAUAUAUAUUGGGUUGUCCAGAAAGUUCUUGCCGAUUUUUAAAAGAAAGAAAAAUGUCAAUAAAUACUUGCUAUUACAUUUUUAAUCAACCAAAUGUGAACUAUUUGGUUGCACAAUACGUCUCCAUUUUUCCUUUAACUAGAAAAUACCGUCUUUCCAGAAUUGAGGUAGUUUCAUGGUAAAGAAUUCAUCAAUAUAUCUUUUUACGUCAUCCAAGGAAUUGUAAUUUUAACCAUAAAGAUUAUUCUGCAGAGACUUGAAUGUGUGGAAAUCCGAAGGAGUGAUAUCUGGUGAAUAUAGAGGGUGGGGUAACACAUCCCAGCCAAGCUGCAGCAAUUUUUGUCUGGUUCCCAAAGCAUCAAGUGCAGAAAAUGAACUUUCUUAUCUUCCAUUUUAAAGGGUUACAAAAUUAACACAGAUUAUAGGAACAUAAACCUUCUUCCACAAGAAGAUAGCUUAAACUGUGCUCUAAAUGGAGGUCAAGUCAAAUCCUAUUUUAUGGACUCAACCAUGUUCUAAAAUAAGUCGAAAUGUAAGCUACUAUAAAUCGGCAAGAACUUUCCGGACAACCCAAUAUAAAGGCUAUUUGCCAACAUAAUGUGGCUGUCCUGGAAGCGACGAUUGUUACUGUUGUUUAGUUCCAGGAAACAUCGUUUCCAACUGGCUAAGACAAGAGACACAGAAGGAAGGCGCGAGCUGCCUUUGACACCACACUGAAUGUUACCUUCGUCUGUGGACACGGCUCACGGACCUUCCUUUCCUAUAUCGGACUUGUCAGUCAUGAGCGUGCCUGCAGACAACGUGGACAGCCUUCCUGAUCUUCGUUCGCGAAGCCGAGCCAUGAUGAUGAUACGAUACAAUAUCUAUGUCCUAAUAUUUGCGAAUAGGGAGUCCACGCGACUCCACAUAUUUACAUUGCCCUCAACUGUUUUGUGAAAUAAUGUGUAUUAGUAUACUAGUAAUUAUGUUAGAUACGGUCUCAAACUUACUGCGUCUUAUAUCUAGUAUACUAAUUAAAAGAUUUAAAAAUAUUUAUAACGAUCACUUUAUUACUUCAUCUGUAAUCUAUAAUUCAAAAAAUUUAAACAUUAUUGAUACUUCUAAGGAAACCGAAUGUCACGUUGUAUGGAGUUGAUCUGUCACUACUGAUAUCCGGUUGAGAAGAAUUAUCGUUACACACACAUCCGCACGUAUAUAUGCAUAAAUGUAUGUAUGUAUGUAUGUAUGUAUGUAUGUAUGUAUGUAUGUAUGUAUGUAUGUAUGUAUGUAUGUAUGUAUGUAUGUAUGUAUGUAUGUAUGUAUGCAGAUAAAUAGAUAGAUACAUAGAUAGAUACACACAUAGGUAUAUGUAUAAAUGUAUGUGUGUGUGAGGUUUUUGUGUGUGUAUGUGUGUGUGUGUGUGUGUGUGUGUGUGUGUGUGUGUAUACACAUACUCAGGCAUUUAUACAUCAGUAAACGAUAACUACGUUCUCUUUAUAAGUUAUUUAAAACAACUAUUUCAGUCUGAAGAACAACAGAAAAAAAAAUGUUCUCUCAACAGAUUCGAAUCAUUUGUCUCCUUUAAUGGAGUUUAAUACUUUACUGACAACUCUACAUUAGUCCUGUUCUUCAAUUUUCUCAAAUUAGCGUUAUAUAAACAGCUUACUCGUACAAAUUGACAGCUUCACCUCGUGUCUCUCUCUCUCUCUCUACAAUGGAUCACAGCUUAUCUUGUACUUAGUUAAUCACCAUUGAAUAGAUAGGACGCACCGAUUUAGUUAAUUCAGUUUGUGAUAACACUUAAAUACGAUGUUUGAAAUACAAACAACACCAAGAAUGUAUAACGUAACAGCUAUAACAUCAAUGUUUAUGAUUUUUAUGUGCAAAUUACACGAGAAAUUGACGGCUACAGACAUAAAACAUCAAUCUCUUGGGGGGUCUCGACAACAUAUGUGUUGAUGGCAUACAUCUGAUUAAACUAAUUUCGGUGCAUCUGUCAACAACGCAUGUCUGCUUUACAAUGAGGCUAUUACAGAUAAUUUUUCAGUCAUUUGAACGGAUUCUGUACCGGUAGUUUCGUCACUACGAAAUUAUAUAUGAUGCUUACACAAUAGGAAAGUGUGGAAGUGCUGCCUUUUAAGGUGCACCAGUAAACACUUUACGCGAGCCUAAUUUGAUAAGAUGGUUGAACACAUUGUUUCAACAGGCAACGUUGCCGAUGUCUUACGCAACAUACAAGUAGUGAGAAUACUGGAAUUGGAAUUGUUCAAGUUAUUUGACUAAUGUGGCCGUAAAAUCUUAACAGCAGCUUUAUAGGCUGUUAUUAUUCCUGCCACUGGUGUGAAGCGAUUUAAAGUAUGACCUCCGUUAAUGUUCACACGUAGAUUGUGCGUUAAUUUCUGAAAUACUCAUCUCAAAUUUGUAUCUUUUAUCCUUUACUUGUUUCAAUCAUUUGACUGCGACCAUGCUGGGGCACCUCCUUAAAGGGUUUUAGUUGAACAAAUCGACCCGAUUAUUAUUAUUAUUAUUAUUAUUAUUAUUAUUAUUAUUAUUAUUAUUAUUAUUAUCAUUAUUAUUAUUAUUGAGUGAGAGAGCAAUGCAUGCCAUCAAACUGACACUGGGGUACAAAUAUACGAAUAUACCCAUCAUGAUAAUAUACACGUCUGAUAAGGGUACAUUAGGCACUUACAUCACAACCAUAUGUGCGCGACAUGGUGACCUUAUAUCAAGCUAAACAGAGCAUGAUAUUGCAGAUGGAGCCCAGUUAGUAUUUUCUUCAGGUUGAGUAGCCCAUCCUGCUCAAAAGGUACCUGAAUCAGGUGUUGUUUAAGGAUGAUGAACGAAACACCUAUAUUUCCAGAGGUGAAUUAUCCAAACCCCAAAGAAUUCCUCUGAACACGCGGCUAUGAUGUUUCCCCACUUCCCCUGCUCAUGAUCAGAGAUGCACAUAUUGUCAGUCAUUAAGAGACAUACUCAGCUGGUUAAGGUAAAAAAAAAAUGACGAGCAAAUCUAUGUUAUUAUUAUUAUUUCGUCGAACCAAUUUUUUGCUCUGUCAAGUCCAUACUUGUUGCAGAGCGUCCAAUGGACAAGCCUUGCUAUAUUGCAGUGGCAUCUCAUAUUCCUUCUGGGCUAAUGGCGCACAUUGUCUGGUAAUAUGCCAUACGGUUUCACCAUUUUGUCCACAGAUUCUACACAUUGCUUUCUGAUGUGUUGUCUAUUCUAUUAUUAUUAUUAUUAUUAUUAUUAUUAUUAUUAUUAUUAUUAUUAUUAUUAUUAUUAUAACCAUCGUCAUCACCAUCAUCAUUAUAAUUUUGAAAAUAUCCAGGCUUGUGAUCAUCAUUUUAUAGAAUGUAAUUAAUGAUUAUUACUCAUUAUCUUAAUUGCAUUUAAUAUUCUAAAUGAUGAUUUUUUUCGUAAAAUAUGUAUUAAUAGUUUUUGUAAUUUCUUUGAGGUUAGAUUAUUUUCUAUGGAAACCAACGGCACAACGAGAUACGGUAAUGGUAAUAAUUUUGUUAAAACUUGUUAAAACAAUGUGUAAUAAUUUUAGCGCAUGGAUAUUCUUGUAAAUGAAUAACUAAACAUAGAUAUAUGUGUGCACAGAGACACUCACAAGCACAGACGGGAAUAAACAUACAUACGUACAUACAUAGACACACACACACGCACACAUAUAUAUGUCAUAUACAAGCAUUUAUGUAUACACAAAUGCACUGGCAUACAUUAUAAUCACAUAAUGUGAUAUAUAUAUAUAUAUAUAUAUAUAUAUAUAUAUAUUGAGCGUUAUACUAAUACAUCUGUUUGUUUUGUACACCACCUACCUUCGUCUUAUAUAUAUAUAUAUAUAUAUAUAUAUAUAUAUAUAUAUACAUACAUACAUACAUACAUAUUCUUUUACUUGUUUCAGUCAUUUCAAUGUGGCCAUGCUAGAGCACCGCCUUUAGUCGAGCAAAUAGACCCCAGGACUUAUUCUUUGUAAGCAUAGCACUUAUUCUAUCGGUCUCUUCUGCUGAACCGCUAAGUUACGGGGGCGUAUAUAUAUAUAUACAUACAUACAUACAUAUAUAUAUAUAUAUAUACAUACAUACAUACAUAUAUAUAUAUAUAUACACGUACAUGCACACAUCACAUUCACAGUAUGUGUGUGUGCAAAUAUUUGAUUAAAUUACCCGCCUGUUUUUCAUAAAUUGCUGAAAUCUAAUUUACUGCGGAAUUUAUUUAGAGACAAUAACUCUUAUGGACUUGCUUUAAAUUACAUCACUGUUCUCCUAUAUCGGUGAUGAUAUUUUAUCGUGGAAUGUGAUUGUCUGUGAGUAGUGACAAAGGCUAAGGAUCUAGCAUUUUCACCUGCCAAAGCUAGGGAAAAUUUUCUCAGCUCCUGAUAUGUGUUGUGUCUUAAACCGGAGCAAUUCCAUAAGAAAUAUUAUCUCCGUAAAUUUGCUCUUUGCGAAAUGUUAACGUUAAGUCUGAUACACUAGUAGCUGUGUGUAUAUGUGUGUGUAUGCGUGUCUGUGUGUGUACGUAUAAAUGUAAGUAUGUGUAUAUAUAAUUGAUGUUGGAUUUUUGAAUUGAAAUUAAGAAUUGCAAAUAAUUAGCGAUAGUAUGAUUCAACAGAGAAUCAUAAUCUAAAUUUUUUUGGACAGGCACAGAGAAUAAAGGCGGCAAGCUGGCAGAAUCGUUACGUUCUGAGUUCAAAUUCCGCCGAGCUCGACUUUGCCUUUGAUCCUUUCGGGGUCGAUAAAUUAAGUACCAGUUAGGCACUGGGGUCGAUGUAAUCGACUUAAUCCGUUUGUCUCCUCUGUGUGUAGCCCCUUGUGGGCAGUAACGAAAUAGGUACUUCGUCUGCCGUUACGUUCUGAGUUCAAAUUCCGCCGAGCUCGACUUUGCCUUUCAUCCUUUCGGGGUCGAUAAAUUAAGUACCAGUUACUCACUGUGGCCGAUGUAAUCGACUUAAUUCUUUUGUCUGUCCUUGUUAGUCCCCUCUGUGUUUAGCCCCUUGUAGGUAAUAAAGAAUUAAGAAAGAGAGACUAACAGUUAACAGUGACUUUCGUAUUUUACUGUGAAGAGAGUAUGAUAUUUUUUCACAUGCCGUUCUUGGCAAAACUUCAAAACCAUUGUCAUUCUGUAUUUCUGUAGGGUAAAACGUUCAUGCGUACAUGCAUAUACACGCAUGAACACACACGCACAUGUUGUAUAAUUUAAUACCAUCGCUAGGAUUCGCAACAAGUCGAUUCGUGAGCCUGUGUCAUUGUUGCGUAAUUCGAUGAUCAGGUGCACCAACAUUGUACAAAUGUCUUCAGUACGACAGAGCUAAUUAUAUUGGUCAGUUAUGGAAUCAUUUUCAGUGAAGGUGGUUAGUUGUUACGUUAACUAUAGAGAUUUAUCUCACUUCGAAUGUUGACACGCAGUGCUGUGCAUAUUAAAAUUUCCUUGUGGAUGCUUUCACCAAUAUACUUCCAGAAAAAAAAACAAAAUUACAAAUCCUUUAGUUUAUGUGAAAAUAUAAUUAUAUACUUUUACUUUCAUAUACAUAAAAUUGUUAUUUAACCCGUUCAGUGUGUAACCGAUUACAAAUUUUAGUGAAUAUAAUAUACAAUAUAUUUGUGUAUGUCUGCACACACACACACACACACACACACACACACACACACACUCCUAUUUGUAUAUUUAUGCAUGUAAGAAUGCAUGCAUUCAUACGUACAUACAUAUAUAUAUAUAUGCAUUCACAUUUAUAUAGUUGUAUAUAUACAUGCAUACACUCCAAAUACUGCCCAUAUACACACAAAUACAUGCAAAGAUACCUUGUUCAUGUUCAAUUUGGAUCUAGAUUAGAAACCAGCUAUUUCUCUGCUGGUAAAAUAUCUUGAAAUAAAACUGAAUAAUGACAUACAUACAUACAUACAUACAUACAUACAUACAUACAUACAUACAUACAUACACAUACACACAAACAUACAUACAUACAUACAUACAUACAUACACACACACACACACACACACAUACAUACACACACACACACAUACAUACAUACAUACAUACAUACAUACAUACAUAUAUACAUACAUACAUACAUACAUACAUACAUACAUACAUACAUACAUACAUACAUACAUACAUACAUAGUUUCUGUGAUUUCAAAUGUUAAGCUAUUUCAGCUAAGAAUCUUAAUCGAUUCUAGUUUUUCAAUAUUUCAACAAUUAACCAGUGAAAUUGCCAUAUUAUAUUACAAAAUUUAAGAGUUACAAGGAGGUCAAAUAUAGUCAAUAAGUAAGUGUAUAUCUGUGUGUGUGUGUGUUUGUGCUUGGGUGUGUGUUUUGUUGUGUGUCUGUAGGUGGGUAAGUGUUGGUGGUUGUGAUUUCCUAUUCAAAUUACUGAAGUGUUUAUUAAAACGACUGAAUGGGUCAUCACAAGAUUGUCUAUUAGCAAUUUAAGUAUAAUUCUAUUCGAAAGGAUGUUCUAUAUAUUUCUUUAUAUAGGUAUGCAUGGAUGGAUGGAUGGACGGAUGGAUAGCAAGCGCCUUGCAAUCAGGCGAAGUUUUAGUUGUUAACCGUUUACAACCCUUAUAUUAGCCAAACGAGAGCGCAAUUCUACUUAGCCAUUCUAUCAGUGGAAUUAAAAAGAUAUUUCUCUUUCAUUGUCUCUCUCUACCUUUCUCUCUCUCUUUCUCUUUCUCUCUCUCUCUCUCUCUCUCUCUCUCUUUCCCUCUCUCAUUCUUCCUCUUUCUAACUCUCUAACUAUUUCUCACCUACAGAACGUGACAAUAAAACCGACCGUCUCAUACUUUUGGCUUACCUACUGAGCAAUUUUUUUUAUAUAAGAGUCACUUUAGAGUAUGGGAUUAACGUACUGCAUCGCAAUCUCAGCAGGCAUUAGGCACGUGAGCCUAUUUUCUAUCCUGUAUCCGCACAAUACUCUAGUUCGCACUGCAACUGUAAUCCGAAAGAUCUUUAUUUCAUAUAUAUAUAUAUAUAUAUAUAUAUAUAUAUAUAUAUAUAUAUAUAUAUAUAUUAAUAAUAAAAUAUUAGGGAAUAAAUCCAAACUUACAGGGAAAAAUCAGAUUUAGGAUUCAAUCCAAUUUUAUAGUAAAAUAUUAUGUUAUAUUAAAUUAGAGAUAAAACCACUAUUAAGCAAAUCAAACAAUGAAAAACUUAAGCCAAUACAUAAAAUUAAUUCAUUGCUAAACCUCGCUAAGAUAAAUAUUUCAAUUACCUGAAGAUUGACUGUAACCAUAACUCGAAUUAUUACGAAAUGGACAGCCAUGAAACGAUCGUAGUGUUUUUACUCAUUAUCUUUUAUCAAACUUUUAAUACUUUUGAUACAUAUUUAAAAUAAUAUAAAUUAAUUCAUUUUAUGUAUUGGCUUAGGUUUUUCAUUGUUUGAUUUGCUUAACAGUGGUUUUAUCUCUAAUUUAAUUAAUAUAUAUAUAUAUAUAUAUAUAUAUAUAUAUAUAUAUAUAUAAAUAUAUGUGUGUGUGUAUAUAUAUAUAUAUGUAUGUAUGUAUGUAUGUAUGUAUGUAUGUAUGUAUGUAUGUAUGUAUGUAUGUAUAUAUGUAUAUAUAUAUAUAUAUAUAUACAUACAUGAAUAUACAUACAUAUGUGUAUAUAUAUAUAAAUAAUAAAUUAAUAAUUAAUUUAAUUUAAUAUAUAAAUUACCUAUAAUUUUUUAUUUAAUGCUGACUACCUGAUAAAAAUCAUUAAUGUAAAUUUAUCCUACAAUUCUAAAUAUAUCUAUAUCGUUGUAUAUUUGGAGGGGCAUCAUGCCAAUAAUGUUAAUAAUAAUAAUAAUAAUAAUAAUAAUAAUAAUAAUAAUAAUAAUAAUAAUAAUAAUAAAAACACCACACGCACUGGUUCAAUAUCACUUCUUUAUGAUUAGUAAAUUGGUGAAAUAUCUAACCAACUAGCAAAUCGAUCAAGUGUUUAAUGUACCGGUUAAAUAAUCGAUCUGUUAUUUGUUAGUCAAAGACUUUUCGUCCCCAUCCCCACUCUCUCUCUCUCUCUCUUCAAGGUCUGCUCUGAGUCUAUCAGAGAUUUUGUCUUAUGCUUGUGUGUAUGUACAUGUGUAUUUGCUUAGAAAAGAAGGUAAGAGUGAGAAUAAGCGAAGAGUUUGUCUAUGUGAAUAAAUGAGCUUGUGUGUGUACAACCACGUGACUGCUUGCAUGUGUGCGCAUGUGCUUGUGUAUGACUGUGUGCGUGUCUGCGUGUGUAUCUGUGCGUACGUGUGUAUGCCUAGUGUAUGUGCGUGUGUCUGUGUGUGUGUGUGGGGGAAUGUGUUGAGGUGUGGUUCUUUCAUCUUGUGUUCCUGUGUGUGUGUUUACGUGUUUGUAUGUGCGUGUUUGUAUGUGCGUGUGGAUGUGUAUGGUUGUGUAGUAGAAUUGCUCAUAGCUAUGCGUAUUUAUAUAUUUGUAUGGAUUUCUUUGUAUCCUGCUGUUAUUCUACUCUUAUCUUAUCUGUACCUAACUCUUUCUAGGUAUCAGUACGCGAGCGCACAUACGCGCGCCUAGACAUGUAUUGGAAUUGUACAUAUUUACAUGUAUUUAUUUGUAUAGAUUUUCAUGCAUCCUGCUGUCGUUGGUAGCCCUACGCUUUAUACACCUGCCUAUACAAACACAUCCAUGAACACAGACGCACUCAUGUAUGCAUAUUACAUUGUGGUAAUUGUGGUGGUGUAUAAAUUGUGGUGGUGUAAUAAAGGCGGCGAGCUGGCAGAAACGUUAGCACGCCGGGCGAAAUGCUUAGCGGUAUUUCGUCUGCGUUACGUUGUGAGUUCAAAUUCCGCCGAGGUCGACUUUGCCUUUCAUCCUUUCGGGGUCGAUAAAUUAAGUACCAGUUACGCACUGGGGUCGAUAUAAUUGACUUAAUACCUAUGUCUGUCCUUGUUUGUCCCCUCUGUCUUUAGCCCCUUGUGGGUAAUAAAGAAAUAGGUAAUUGUGGUGGUGUAGUUCUACGACCUAGUAUGCAUAUUUUAUAUUCGGUAUUGGCAAUGUCUCAUUUAUGUGAACAGACUCGCGUAUUCGUCGAAGUAACGGGUUUUUUACGGGUGUUUAGACAAAAUAUUAAUGCAAAUUCGGAUCAGCAUGUUGCCACAUUGAUAUUUCGAUGGUGAUAGAUUAUAGACGACUGUCUCCGGUCAUUAUACUCCCGCCGGUGUGCAUUUAGUCUCUCUACUGAACUUCGAGAAUUCUCUCCGUGGUAUGUUGUAUUCCGGUUCCUACACCCCACUCCGUGCACUUUAUGUUGUUGACGAUAUUUCUGAUUUUACAGAUAAUACUGGGGUUGAAGGUACGUAGUUCAUUUCAGUACAUGUGGUCUUGAAGGGGUAUGACUUACAUAACUGUGAUCUGAUGGACUUCCCUGAUUUCUCAACGAUCUUAAUGUUAAGUUUUUUUAUGUUCUUCAGAGCUUUCCUAAACCCGUGGGCUAACACCCCCACGAGGAGAAGCCUCUACAAGCAUCAUGCCUCGAAAUUUAUGCCUCAUGCCACAUGUUUAUUUCCUUUACACAAAUUCUCUGUACUCUGUUCCAUUGCUUGUCCCUGUAUAAAGGUCCCAAUGGCGUCCUUACUUAUGAUAUUGAAUUUUUCUCUAGAACCUCCCACAACUGUACACACUGACCAUAUCUCUGUGGUCGUAGCCGGGCAACUGCACGCAGUGCAUCAAUUACUGUGCAUGUGUCUUUAUAUCAUCGGCUUCGCAUUGAGGCGGGGCAUGUUUUCUAUUAUCCUAAGUACGCUAUUAGUAUGUUAAUCUUUACAUUGUUUGAUAAAAACUGAUUUCUUGUGAAUAACAUAUCUGGGAGUUACAUUAACACAUACACACACGCAUACGCGCACACAUACUCGCACUUACACGCACAGACACACACACAUACAUACAUACACAUACACACACACUAACCUUUCAUUCUGUUUUAUAAAGAUAUUUCGUGUGCUCCAGUUUUUAUUCUUCCAUAAAGGAAUCGUGAAAAACUGUAGCGAUUUGAUAGUUUCAGCUUCCAAUAACACAUAUACAUAUGCAGAUAUAUAUAUAUAUAUAUAUAUAUAGAUAGAUAGAUAGAUAGAUAGAUAGAUAGAUAGAUAGAUAGAUAUAUAAUAUAUAUAUAUAUAUAUAUAUAUAUAUAUAUAUAUAUAUAUAUAUAUGUGUAUGUGAUCUAUAUAUGUUUUUAAAUUCAAAUACACACAUACACGCGCGCACACGCAAAUUUCUAUAAAUCUAUAUAUGUAUGCAUCAAACAUCUUCCACGAAGAUCUAUCAAUCGAAAUGAUCUUUUUAAAAAGGUAACCAAAGAAAAGAGUACAUAUAUUCUUAAAUAGACACGUGCAACUCACACACACAAACUGGUCUCUAUCUCUCGUUCUUCCGCUCUGUCUCUGUGUGUCUGUCUGUCUCUCUCUUGCUCUGUCUCUCUGUCUGUCUCUCUCUCUCUCUUGCUCUGUUUUUUUCCUUAGAUAAUUUCCCUAUACUGCAGUCAACCACCUUCUCCUCUUUUCCUCCCCGUACGUGCAAAAUAAACACAUGCAUUCUACUCUCACGAAAGCUUAUACACACACACGCACGCUCGCACGCACAGAACACACACACACACACACACACACACACACACACACACACACACACACACACACACACACACACACACACACACACACACACACACACACUCACACACACACACAUACACUCACACACACAUAUAUAGAUCCGCACGCUCAUGCGUUCAUGAAAACACGGUUGUUUUGCUCUUGCCUGGGCAAGGAAGAGGAGCGUGUGCUUACGUUCGUGUGUGUGUGUGUGUGUGUGUGUGUGUGUGUGUGUGUGUGUGUGUGUGUGUCUAGCAUGUGUUUGUGCAUAUGCCGGUUUGUUUACGACUAUCUACCUUUUCCCCCCUUAUUUUGAUUCUGAAAUACCUAGUUUUUCAGAAUCUCGAUUGAUAUCUCUUCUUAGAACAAUAAUAUAUUUUGUAUUACCCAUCACUCACGCACGCGCGCACGCGCACAUAACCACAUAUACAUAUUCGUAUAUAUAUUUUUACGAAUAUAAAUAUAUGUAUUCAUGAACGUAUAUGUGUGUGUAUAUAUACAUACAUACGUACAUACAUACAUAUACAUAUAUAUAUAGAAAGAAUAGCCAAAACUCUUUGACUGCUAUUUCUAAAUUCGGUGUGUGGUAGGCAAAUCGUUGCUAAACCCUUAGUAUUACUUAUACCUUCCUUGAAUGGGGCUUUUACAUGCCGAACUCUACUUGGUGAAAUUAAUGAUUAUUCCAAAUUAAUUAAUUUCACCCUUUAUUAUUAUUAUAUAUAUAUAUAACAUAAAAUAAAUGCGCCCUUUUAAAGCCUAGCCAGGCUCAUGGGCCCGGUUUCCCGGUUUCUAUGGCGUAUGUGUUCCCCAGCUGGAAGGGACGCAAGUCCAUCGCAGCGUUACUCAUUUUCGCCAGGUGAGUGGACUGGAGCAACGUGAAAUGAAGUGUUUUGCUCAAGAACACAACGCGUCGCCCGGUCCAGGAAUCGAAACCACAAUCUUACGAUCAUGAUGCUGACACCCUAACCACUAAGAAAUGCACCGCCACACACACACACACACACACACACAAUAUAUAUAUAUAUAUAUAUAUAUAUAUAUAUAUAUAUACAUAUAUAUAUAUAUAUACAUGUACAAAGCCACAUACAUAAAGAUACUUGUAUGAAUGUAUAUAUGUAGUUGGCAUUGGCCCAUCAUGAAACUAUUUUAGCUAUAAAGAUAUAUUUACCAAAAAAUUCCAUUACAGCGACCACUUAUACAUUCAGCUCAUUAUAGCUCAGCGUUAUGUUGAGCUCGUAUAUUUUUAAUUGAUAGAAAUAUUUUCAUUCAUGUCACAUCAGCGAGUUGGCUGAGGAACAGAACAGAGUAAUGUAGAAUUAUACGACCUACAUAAUCCGAAAAUAUUCUACCAUUCUUUCGUAAAUGCUUAAAUGUAAACAUUUUCAUUAAAGUUAAACCAAAAUAGAUUUCCGAAAAAAUUUAGAAUGCUCCGAAGAAAUCGCUAUGUAUCUCUAAAGGUAUAUUGAAGUAGUUCCUUCUCGACCAGAUAUCAAUACUUGGACAAUUUCUUACAUAUCUACACUAUAUGGAUGAUAUUGACUCUUUUUACUCUCUUUUACUUGGUUCAGUCAUUUAACUGCAGCCAUGCUGGAGCACCGCAAAUCGACCCCCAGGACUUAAUCUUUGUAAGCCUAGUACUUAUUCUAUCGAUCUCUUUUGCCGAACCACUAAGUUAUGGGGACGUAAACACACCAGCAUCUGUCGUCAAGCGAUGUUGGAGGGACAAACACAGAAACACAAAGACACACACUUAUAUUUAUAUAUACAUAUACAAAUAUACGACGGGCUUCUUUCAGUUUCCGUCUACCAAAUCCACUCACAAGGCUUUGGUCGGCCCGAGGUUAUAUUAGAAGAGACUUGCCCAAAGUGCCAGGCAGUGGGACUGAACCUGGAACCAUGUGGUUCGUAAUCAAGGUACUUACCACACAGACACUAUAGAAAAAUAUGGAACUAUAUGCGCCUGUAGAAAAAUAUGGAACGCUUCACGAAUUUGCGUGUCAUCCUUGCGUAGGGGCCAUACUAAUCUCUGUAUCGUUCCAAUUUUAGAAUAUGUACCGCCGUAGCUAUUGAAAAUAUCACAUGCAUUUUUGUUUCCCGAGUCACACCAAUAAAUAAGAAUUGAGACCACAUACAUUGUUCCCUAGCAAAUUCAUUAGCAUUUUUUAAAAUUACACGAGGCUCUUAUGCUGUCCUAGGGAAAUUCAGAAGAAUUAAUAAUUAGUAUUUUCAGAUGAAAAAAAUUUUGUACGAUAUCUCUUCAUACCAUCCAACAUAUUUUCCAAGUAACAAAUCUUGUUCUUUUAAUAGUUGCCUAGGUAGUUAAACUUCACUCUGAAAAAAUGAAUCAAUACAAUUGUUGUAAAUUUUCAAGAUUUACAGCUUAGCUAUUUUAUAAUUUGCGUGUCUGAAUUCAAGUACAUCACGCGAGAUUAGCCCAAAUUGUGUAAAAAGCAUUUUGUGGAUGUGAUAUAGUGCAAGUAGUUCUAAAAUUAUCGCGAUUAAAGUUGACAGAAAAACAUUAAUAAUACCAGUGAUAAACAUCUCUAUUAUAGAUUCAAGGUAAGGAUUGUAUUGAUUUUAAAGGUAGUAUAUUUCACCAACCUUGGAAGGAUUAAAGGGAAGCUGAUAUCGACGAGUUUCAAUUCAGAAAAUAGAGUGCCCGAAUUUAUAAGCUACAUUGUUCGACGCGCUUCCGAUUUUAUUAACACACCCCUACCACCACUGCCUCACAACCAACAACAACAACAACAACAACACAUUUCUGAUUUGCUCAGAGAGCCAGCAGUUUAGUUGGGAUAGAGAUUAAUCGAUUAAACUGAUUCCACUUCUGGACUGGCUCUUAAUUUUGUGCAUUCGGAGAAAAGAAAGAUAACUCCUGCAUGAUUUGAAUUUACAACGUAAAGAACCGGAACCGAUUGUGCACAACAUACUGUACCAUGUUCUAACGAUUCUGUCAAUCAACUGAGGCCCACAGCAUGAUCGAUAUUUAGUGACGGUAGUGUAGUCGAUCAAAUCAACCCCUUUUCAUGACGGGCACUUUAUUUUAUUGACUUCGCAGGAAUCAUAGGGCUGAAUUUGAACUCAAUUGCAAUGAUAGUUUUUGUCAAUGAUAGUUUUUAAUACCUUGUUGAUGAUAAGGCGGUGAGCACGCCGGACAAAGUGCUUAACGGGAUUUUCUUCCGUCUUUUCGUUUUGAGUUCAAAUUUUGCCGAGGUCGACUUUGCCUUUCAUCCCCCCAACAUCGCUUGAAAACCGAUGCUGGUGUGUUUACGUCCCCGUAACUUAGCGGUUCGGCAAAAGAGACCGAUAGAAUACGUACUGAGCUUACAAAGAAUAAGUCCUGGGGUCGAUUUGCUACUAUAGGCGGUGCUCCAGCAUGGCCACACUCAAAUGACUGAAACAAGUAAAGAGAACAAACUGAUAAUGUAUUUAUUAUCAUGUGUGGGGAAAAUCAGGAUGAUCACAGUUAAAAGGCCAUUUGAUUAUAGCUCUACUGGAUCAAGUCUGACCUGGGGCUAAACAAAAACAAGUACAUCAUAAAAUAAUCAAAUACAUCCCAUCUGAGAAAGAUUUUCUAGGAAGUCGAUGGAGAAAACUGCGAAGCAUAAUGACACAAGCGAAACUAAAAAAUGAUUUUAGGUGUUGUGACAACGUUAGCAAUAUUAAGUGUGUGACUCUGGAGAAAUCCCAUUAAAAAUGAUAAUACUGUCAGUUUAAAAGGAAGAAAAAUCAAUAAUUGUAAACAUUGCGGAAAGACACAAAGACACGUGUACGUGUAUGUGUGUCCCUGUGUGUGUGUGUGCCUAUGUGUAUAUGUGUGUACCUGUGUAUAUGUGUGUGCCUGUGUAUAUGUGUGUGUGUGAAACACCAUCCACAAAAUAACUCGCGGCUUAAUAUUAUGAUUUUAUACUUUGAAAAACUCGAAUUUCUUUGUGAGCAUUAUAUUUUGUCAGAUUUUAAUUAAGAUAUGAUCGUAAUUGUAAAGAUAUUAUUGUAUGAGACGUUUCUAUAGAAGAAAAAAAAAAUUGGGAAAAUUGAAAAUAAACCGUGUUUGUUUCUGAAUAGUAAAAACACACUUGUCUGUGGAAAUAUGAUGCUAAAGUAUUUAUUAAAUUUAGUUUAUCUGAUUUCCGAUGUAAUAGUAUACCGAUAUUAAUACAGAAAAUGGCAACAUUAAUAUUUAGAUAUUUGAAGGACUUUUGUAAUAGAAUAUUCUUGGAAAAGUUGUCUUUGAAAAGAGAUUUAUCUAACAGUUUUUUCUUACUAUAAAAAUUCUAAAUUUCUACAGAGUGAGGAUGUUAUAAGCGUUUGGUUUAAGUGCUGGCGUAUUAAUGACUGAUUUAUAAGUUCCUAUACCUUAACUAGUCUUUGAUCGUGUAAUCUGUUGAGUUUCACUUUCCACUUGUUUUCGGAACUAGCUAUUAAAUGUCCUGGUGAAUUCACUUAGUUUUAUCCAAGUGAGCAGCCGUUUCCUCUGUCGUCAGUUUUAUGUCAAAAAACUAAAACUACCAAAGAGUCGUGACGAGCUGUUUGAUCUUUUAAGGAUAUCAUUUUGAUAGAAACAGCUAUUAUUGAUCUAGAGAACAGCCAACAGUAAAUCGCUGCGCAACUAGACCUCGGUUAUCCCAACAAGACGUGACGCGUAACGGAAUUAUUUUGUCCGUGCUAACUCAUUGUUCUGAUUAUUGAUCAGAUCGUAAACAAAAGAAAGCCAUAUUUUACAUAAAUUUUAUGUUAAUAUAGCAAGUGUGUUUAUCAUGUCAUUAUUAUAUAUUACUAGCAAAGAUACUCGGCGUUGCUCGGGAUGAAAAUUAUAUAGUUUGUGUAUAUAUAUAUAUAUAAUUUCGUACUUUAUUUAGCUCAAGGUAAAUGUUUUAUCGCAUCUUUAAUUUUUUUGUAUAUGGUAUGAUUUAAGUAUAUCAUUGUUCAAUUGCUACAUGGUGGUUCUUCUCUAAUUUACACACACACACACACACACACACACACACACACACACACACACACACACACGCACGCACACACACACACACAUAUAUAUAUAUAUAUAUAUAGAGAGAGAGAGAGAUUACAGUUCUGUUGAGGCAGUUGAUACGGGAAAGUGCAGCAUUGACGACUAAGUGUUUGUGGAGUAAAUGAUGGGCUAAUUCAAUUAAGCAACAUACCAUGCGUCCGUUUGGAAUAUCCCAGGUCCUGAACUCCCAUGGAAAAUCGGUGGUCGAGUAUGUGAUAUUUCAACGCACCGAAAGCUGUCAGUGGAUAUACUCUCCUUUACGGCAGUCGUCGCUGCGUCUAACACGACCCAUCGUCUUACGUUUUGUCACCUUCUUCGGGUUUGUUGUCCUACAUCACUCAUAAAGUAAGAUUGGAGGAAUUGUGGUUGUUCAUUUGUGGGUAACAGGGAACCAAUGAGGUUACAGGCUUGUCCUUGAGCUUUGAAUGUCGGCAUAAAUCCAUUUUUAACUAUCUCCUUAGAUGCACCAAACGAUGUAAUUCGAAAUGCAGUAUUUUAUUGUGUGAUAUUGUUCAGAAAAUCCUUUGACUGGCUGGAAGUGCCUUCCAGAAGGCCCAUAAUAGGAUGAGGAGGAGGUGGAUGUGCUGGUAAUGUUACAUUACCGUCUGAGCAGCACGUGCCAUUAGUUUCAUUUGGAAAUUUUAAACUUUGGCAGAAGCGACAAUUUGAGUUUAGUACACCAAUUUGGACAAAAUUAUCAUUUUUAUAAGAAUGAGAUGGAUCAUAUCUGAAAGGAGCUCCAGGAGUUGUGAAGAACAAAUUUGUACGCAGUCUGUUUCUGAGAGCUAUUCUAUUGGGACCUCUGUCUAAUCAUGAAAACGUCGGUUUAAUGAUUCAGCAUUAAAUGCUGCAGCACGACUUUGCUGAUGUUGGGAAACUCUCAUCUCCCCUUCUCUCUUGAGACUCCAUCUAUGCUGAUCUUGAGAAAGUCUCAUCUCGCUUCUGUCUUGAGACUCCAUUUGAUGUGAUGGAACAUGCGUUUGCUGAUCUAGGGAAAUUCUCAUCUCCCUUCUGUAUUGAGACACCAUCUGACAUGCUGUAGCAUACCUCUGCUAAUCUUGAACAAGUCUCAUCUCUCUUCUCUCUUGAGACUCUCACGUUCGGUUUUCUACAAUCCUCCUUGCUUUAUACUUUUUUCUAAAGAGAUCACGUCUUUUCUUCGGUGGCAAUUUUUUUUCAAUAUUGUGAACAAAAAUUAUGAGCAUAGACAAAAUUAUACAUUAAUCUCUAUUUUUGUAAGCAGUUGUAUUAUGUCAUUAUUUUUGUAUGUAGUAUAAAUUAACCAAAUAGUUCAUACAUGUUUCUAUUCGGAAAUUUGCUUUUGUUUUCAUUUGAGAGGACGGGAUACAUUUAAUGUUGGAAACAUGUUUAAUAUUGCCGUUGUGUAACCAUAACAUAAUCCUGGCUGAGUAGACUUGUAGGUCAAAUUAUAUUUGAGUAGAUUAAAUUAUAUUUCAGUUGAGGACAAUCAUUUUUUUUUUAAUGAACAUGAUAUACCUAAGACCAUAUUUAUUAUGCACUGUCUCUGUAAGACGGUAAGAUUCGAAGCAGAUUUGGUUAACGUUUUCAGUACGUGGAGUGACCUCAUAUACAGGAGGCCUAGUUGACAAUCACUCUGUAAUACGAUUUUUGCCCUUGGGUAGCAACUGUUAUUUCUUAUUUACUUACCCCUAGAAAGUAUGAAAUAUAGCUAAUAUUUUCUUCAAACUGCUUUUCAAACCCCAAAGAAUCCCUCUCAAUACAUGGCUAUGAUACUCCCCCACUACUCCUGCUCUUGAUCAGAUAUGCAUAUAUUGUCAGUCACUAAGGGACAUACUCAAGUUGUUAUGGUCAAGGAAUUGACAAGCAAACCUGUGGUAUUGAACAGAAUAUUUGCAAUAACGAUAAUGGAAAAUAGGUCAGUUUCAAAACGAUUCAUGUAAUACGAUCCCUUUUGAUAUUUUAUAACAGCUUUGCCAAAGAAAUCUAAUGUUAUUAGUGUUUUGAUUCCGUAUAAGCAGCAGAAUAUGUGAUUGUGUGGCAGUUAUACCUUUCUCACCUGUGUUAACGAAGUAACAUUAACUAGAGAGGGGAGUCAGUUAGCUUAAGGAAUUAUAUGGAUGUGACUGAAAAAGACUCAUCUAACGCAUCUAAAAUACAAAUGACUCUGACAGAGACCACGUUCCUCCAAGAUAUAGUCGCAAGAAGAGAUGACCAGUGUAAGUAAAUGACUCAGUUUCAUAACACUGUCCUUGCUAUUACUCCGAGGGAGAUAUCAAAAUUCGCAACUCUACGAUCAUUACAUGCAUUUACAGACUUGAGAAAGUCUCAUCUCGCUUCUGGACCAAAGUUAAGAUGUAACAGCAAGGUUUAACUAGAUGAUUGGUGAAUUUUACUGAGGGUUUCAUUACUGGUGUUACUUCCAUAAAGUCCCGUGGGUAGUUAAACACGGGUCUGUCAGGGAUUUAUAGGAAUACUGACUCAGUAUUUGAUGAUACAUUUAAUUACCGUGACGAGUUGUUCAUCUAGGUAAGUGGGUUCUAAAUUUUCGCGAUGUUUUUCAAAAAUCAUCGUACCUAUGCCUAUAUAUUAGGGACAGCCAUUGCCUCACUAAUUUUAAUAAGGCAUUAUAUAAGAGAAACGAAAUAUUUUGGGGAGAGAAUUUAUUCAAAUUAUUAAAAAAUUGUAACAACUUCGAAAUGAUGAAUAUCAUUUUUUCUUUUAUAAAACAAUUUUUACUACAUUUUAUUAACAGAAGCCUUGACUCACAGAACAUCAAAACUAUUAUGCCGUAUCUUGGAAUUCUUAUGAAACCAGUUUAGGAAACAGAUCUAAGUAGAUUAGAAAGUUUUACAAUUCAAUAAGUGGGCUACAGACAUAGGUUUUGCUUUCGGUUGAAGACAGUUUCCAUUUCUCCUACUCUCUAAUGCCGAUAAGGACAGGCAUAAACAUUGAAAUGCUUUUCAAAUUACAAAGCCCUUGUAAAGAAUCGAUGGAUUAGUUAAGUCAUUCGAAAGUCGGACAAAAUUUCUGCCGUAUUUGAUUAAAGUUAGCUAAGUUUAACUUCUGAAGGAUCGAUAAAAAUAUAGUAACAGUCAUUUAGAAUUCAUAUUGAUCAUCCUAGAUCUGGGCGAGAUUAUAAUAAACGACAAAAACUAAAACUAAAUGAGACACCGCAAUAAUACAAGCGCGCACACAGAAGAGGUAAUAAAGCUCUCUCGUUUUGAGUGGUGACAACAGUUUCGAUUCUCCAUUGAAACUAAUUCACAUUUUAUACAAGGGAUUGAUUCUGGAAAAAAAACCAUGAACGUCACCCCGCCCCUCCAUUUCCAACCAUUAUAACGUUUGUGCUAUUGUGUCACGAGAAAUCAAUAAAUGACAUUAUGAUCUCAUUGCAAUACUAAGACACAUCAUUUCACAUUAAUUGUUUCACUUGCUUCAGUGCUAUUCAGUCGUGAAGCAAUUUCUCUUAAAUUCUCUUUGAUAGUCAGUUCUCAUUAAGUUCACUGCCGAUAGUCUAAUGUCAUUAAAGGUGAAUAUAUUAGUCUUUUAUUGCAUCAAGACAUAUGUCGAUUAAACAACUCUGUUAGUUCGUUUGCGCCACCACCACAUAACAUGAAAUGAUUUAGAUAUCUUUAAAAGUAUUAUUUAAGAAAACUUUUAUAGUCAUUACUCUUAGAAACUAAUCUUGUUGUGUCUCUCAUCGGAAGGUUUUGUGUUAAAGCAUUAAGAUUUAUAUAAAUGUGAACGCUGAGAUUUACGUUUGUAAAUAUAUUAGAAUCUGUAACGCUUUUGUGCUUUAUUAAACCGCCAUAACUUACGAGUUUCAUCAAAGCAGUGGAGGUUAAGCCUUUUUUUUAUCAAAGCGUCAUAAGUUAAACAUUUAUUUAUCAAAGCGCUUAGGUAAUUCCAGUGGCGUAAUUAAGGCAAGUUAAUAAGCUAAGCUAGGCCAAGUAAACUAGGAAUCGAAACCGAUUCACAGAUUCAUUUCCGAGAAAUUAAUACUGAUUCAUAGUUCUAGAUUCCUUCUGACAAUGCUUUUAUCAGGAAUAGUCUCUAAACCUGAAAGAAAUAGCUGCCAAAUCUCCCUCAAUUCAAACUUCAUUGUCUUUGAAUAAGACACAUUUUAUAAGGUUACACAUUGCGUCUGAGAAGAAUACAGGAUGGUCAAGGACGAUAUGUGUUUUGUCAGAGAAAUGCCCAAUCACAGGUGAUCGAUCAGAGUUGACCUGGCUUUAAACAACGAUAUCAUUAUAUACGUAUCAUGUUGAAGGAGUCGUUGAAUAAGCGGGAAACGGUUCACAGACUACGUGACAGUUUCGAUUUCUUGCCGAAGCAUUCACGCUCUUGUUAUGCCUACGAGCAUUUCAUAUGUGUGUGUGUGUGUGUAUGAGAUUAUUUUUGUACACAUCCGGUAGGUUUCCAUAUCAGGAAUGUAGUAAGUUGAAAACGUUCAAUUAACUGAGAUUUUCCUUGCGAUUAGAUAACAAAAUAUCCCUCGAGGGCUGUUUAAAAAUUGAAACAAUAAGCAAGGAAUAUAACUUCAGUCAUAUCCACUAAAAUGGACAAUGUAGUGUAUUUUGUUUUUAAAGUCAACUAGCGAUUCUUUAUCGCUGGGUGACACUUCCCUCACUUCCACUGUAUCAUCCUUUCUUCCUGUUUUUCUCACUGAAUUUCAUUCGUUCCUUUUAUGCUUUCUUUUUCUCUUUCUAUUUUUCAGUCACAUAUCGAAUCCCCUCGUUCUUUAAUCUUCAUCAUUCACGUUCUUUAUAUUUUAAUUUAUAGUAUUUAAAAAAAAAAAAUUUAUUCUUACUUUAUUUCGUUAACUGUGUCUCAUUUUCCCCUCCUCCAUCUUUUUUCUCUUUACUUUAUCAUAUGACCUUCAAAUGUCCACUUGGCCAUCGUUUCCCACCAUCUUUCAAAUUCUAUUGAAAUGUAUUUAUAACCUCCUGCAACACUUGUCAUUUCUUCAUCAAUAAAGAGUCGUUCUUCAAACGAUUAUCUUUCCCCCCGUCCCGAACACACACACGCACACACACACACAAAGACAGGCCAACCUACAGCUAUCUUCCUCUCCUGUGUUUAUUUCCAUUUCAGCUAUAUUAAAUUUUUCAUCUGAUUUUGUAAAAAAUGCUCAGAGGAAAAGAAAGUCGGAAGCUGUAACCUUCAUACAUUUCCGGAGGUCAUUUGAAGCGUGAGUGUAAUAACACGGCUGCAAAUGCAAGCGAGAAGCGAAAUCGUGUGCCGCCACUAGAAUUUCCGACCGCUUUUGACUUUGUUUAUCAGAAUUUCUCCAAUUUGCAACAUUGUAUCAAAUGUGUUGAAUGGAGCUGAAGAACUUAACUUUCAAAUAUAAAAAAAAAAGUUCCAGUUUACUUGAUUACAUGCAAUAUAUUCUAUCAGACAAUUCAAUAAAGAAUCUUUCAAAAUUAUUUCCAUUCCACUUGCAUUGGAACGAAAGCAAAAAAAAAAAUGUAUUUAUUUAUUUAUUUUAUUUUAUUUUAUUUUAUUUUAUUUAUCGAAGAUUUCAGUUCAUUUGUCGAUGUUGUAGCUUUCUGGUAUUAAGAUCGAUUAUAUAUCUAAUUUUGGUCACCAGUAGCUGCAUAUUUCCUCAAGUAACUACUACACUGGUGCGGGAAAUAAGAGUUAUAGAUCUCUUCUAAAAAUGUAUCGCUUGUAGGAGGUGCAAGAAGCUGCAGAAAUGGCAAAAUUUAGCUUUCCUGUCGUUCUAAUUAGGUGUGUUAACAUUCGGCUUUGAUAUAAAAUAAGAGCUAUCAGCUGGCAUCAGCUGACAUGGUAUUAAAGUAACAAUAGGAGAGGUGAAUGUUUAUAGUUUGUUUUCUGGCUGUUUAGGAUUAGUCAGCGUAAGACAAAGGCACUUAACAUUCAACGGGACACUCUACACUGCUGCAAGAUGGUACAAUGUAGCAAUGUAGCUUCUAACUUGAGGCAGUAACAACAGCAGACUGAAAGUACAGUGCUUCAUUGCUUUGGGAUCACAAAGAACCCAGAAGAACAAGAACACAUACAAUUGCAUACAUACAUAUAUAUACAUACAUAUAUAUAUAUAUAUAUAUAUAUAUAUAUAUAUAUAUAUAUAUAUAUAUAGAUGAAUGUAUUUUUCCCUUGUUAACACGAAAAAAAUAGAUAAAUAGUUACCAGGUAGCAAAAAAUCACACAAGUAAAGAGAUUGUAAAGAGAUUUUUAAAGAUAGAAACUUUGAGUUUACGUGGAAAUUUUUGUAUAAUAUAUGAAUAAAUAAAUGCAGUUUCACGCAGGUAUAAUUCAAAUGUUUUUACUUCCGACACAUGUUUCGAAGAUUUCACUGAUAUUAUUCAAAAGAAUAAAUGUUAUAAAGCAAUAUAAUCUUCUCUUUAGGGAAGUGAAGAAAUGAAACAUGUGUCGGAAGUAAAAGUAUUUGAAUUGUAUCUGCGUUAAACUCCAUUAUUUAUUUAUACACACACACACACAUACACACACACACAUAUAUAUAUAUAUAUAUAUAUAUAUAUAUAUAUAUAUAUACGUUAGAAUGUUGUCCAAGAGAAAAGCAAAGGCCAUUAGAACUCGGUACCAGUGACGUCGCAAAUCGUUUCUACAACGGACUGAACUAGAGCAGCGUGAAAUAAAGUGUCUUGCUCAAGAACACAACGUUGAAGAGCGAGAUUAGGAACGAUGACCUUGUUCAAAUGAGUCUAUUAUGAACAUAUAGUCUUCGUGAAGAAGAAGCUGCUCUCAUUUGACUAAACACAGGAACGCAACAGCGAUUAGCAUAGUUGCGUUCGAAUCUACGAAAUGUGUUAAGAAUAAAUAUGUAAGUCAUGUCAUAUAUAUGUGUGUAUCUGCGUGCGUAUAUGUGUGUGUGUAUGUAUAUAAUAUGUAUGUAUAUAUAUAUAUAUAUAUAUAUAUAUAUAUAUAUAUAUAUAUAUAUAUAUAUAUACAUAUAUAUAUAUAUUAAUCAGCCGAGGUUUGCGAGGAUGGUCCAGUUCUUGACUGAAGAUUGAAGGCUUCGAAUGUCCCGUCCGUGUUUUUUGUAUCGUCUUCUAAAUGUUUUGCGUUCUUGUCCCAGGUUGUAUUUUUUUACAUAUAUAUAUAUAUAUAUAUCCUUUUAGUGCCAAAUGUAAUUGUUUCCUCUGCUUUACUUCUCCGGAAAGCAAAAGUUCUUUAAAAAGCAGGAGUACUGCAAAACUAAUGAGUGUUUUUUAUUGGUUUUCCAAGUUUUGCUAAUGGCAUGAAGUAUCAAAAUUACACACACACACCACACACAUUUACCAUAACUGUACCCACUAUUACUAGUCUCAAAUGAACGUAGCGACUUUUUACCAAAUAUGUAAAUUCCAGUGGAACGUUUCAUACUUAAGAAAAAAUACUGGCGUUUUUGACAUUAAAGAAAUGACUGCAUCACGAAACUGAAGCUUUCAAUUUUAGUUUAAUAUUCACUUUUUUUACUUUGUUUUGGCUUUUUCAUGUAUUUUAUUUUCGUAUGUUUUAUUUUCUUCACAUACAAUAUGUAAUAACUUUUUUUCUCCCAUUUCCGUACAUAAAUAUAGUAAAAAGUUUAAUAUUCAAGAAAUAUAUAUGUGUUGUAUAGUAACCUGCGGCUAUUUUUUUUUUUUUGUUCUUUUGGUUUUUUUCAUGUUCUUUACUGUAUUGAAGAAUCUAUUCUCUCAGUGCAUUUAUAUGUUCGAGUGUAGUAGAUUUCACUUAGCUAUUGUAAUCAGGAAUAUAUGAGGGUCAAAUAUUGUGUUUAUUCCCAAAGUAUGAUGUGGUGAAUAUUGCGGCUAUAGGGUACAAGCAUAUUUAUUGUCGUUCAAGAAUUUGGACCUGGAGAUCUCCAUUUCCAGCGACUUCGAGGGCCACAUCCCAGUGGUAUCGGGCGUCAACGAAGAGCCCUCGACUACAAGACUACCAAAGUUGUUUUUUUUUCCAAGGUCUGGGGUCACCCGCCCCUAAGCCCUAGACCAUCACCUAAUCACCCUUAUCCGUCUUGUUGCUUAACAACAACAACAACAACAACAGCAUAUUUCUACAGGGUGUUGUAUUUCUGUGUGUUGUAGGAUUUCACAUCGCAACUACGCCAUUUCAAAUUCUAAUCGCGCUGCCUGGGCACCUUGGGCAAGUGUUUUAUACAACAGUUUCAAGUCGCUCAAAGCUUAUGAGAAAAAUUUCGUAGAAAAAAGUAAAAAAAAACUGAGGAAGUCUAUGUAGUCGCUUCUGUUCCUGUCUUGUAGAUAUUUAUUUCGUUGUAUUUACACUAGGUUUCCUAUCGAUCCAAAGAUAACACCCUCACUUCCGCCCACAAAUCUUUGGAGGCUUGGAAAAGGGUGAUGCUCACUGCCCUUCCCCUUUGACCAAACCAAUAAACGAAGUACAAGCCCUCAUCUGGUUGCAGUUUUUAGAAACCCUGCUCAUGAGAAACAGGUUAGGAAAAUUGUAUUCCGCUGUGAUCUUUACGGUAGACUGUGUCGUAGGAAAUUCUAAUGAAUUAGAGCGCAUACGUCAUUGGUAAUCGGCAGCAUACGAACUACCAACAUUCUGAUUCGUAGCCUCUAAUUUUCUACAAUGUUGACUAUUCCCUAUAACUCCUGUAAUUCAGUACUAAAUAUGAAGCACUGGAGAGAUGUAUUUAGUUAUCUUCUCCAGGCAGCUAUUGAAACCCGUGAAGUUUAAUUGAAUGAUAAAUUGAAGCGAUAAAGGUCAAAUCGCCCUGAAACCUAUAGACUGUGUAGUGAAGGAAACUUAGUCUCGUCAGAAUUCAAAACAGAAUUCACGAUUUGUCUUAUUAUAAUUCUUCCAAUAUUCAGCGGUGCUUCCUUUACAUUUUUCUUUUUGUUUUGAAAAUAGAGAUAGUUUCUUAUAAAACUGAAGUAAAAAAUUCCUCCGGGGAAGUUAGAAUAUGACUGUGUGACAAUCUAAAUAUGUUAAAUAGAGUAAGACUGUGUGAGGGCUUAGGGAUAUUAAAGGGUUUUAAUGAAAAUUGGAAGGAAUAAGACUGUGAAUGUGUUAGGAUAUAGAGAUUUUAAGGAUAAUACAAGAAAUACGAUUGUGUGUGGUUCAAUUAUAUUAGUGUCGUUAAUAUACUAGAAAUAACUAAGGCGGCGAACUGGCAGAAUCGUUAGUACGACAUUUCGCUCAUCUUUACGUUCUGAGUUCAAAUUCCGCCGAGGUCUGCUUUGCCGUUCAUCCUUUCGGGACCAAUAAAAUAAGUACUAGCUGAGCACUAGGGUCGGUGUAAUCGACUUAACCCACCACCAAAAUUGCAGGCCUUGAGACAAAAUUUUUAACCUAUAUGUUAGAAGGAAUUACACUGUGAGAGACACUGUAAUGAUAUUAAGUAUUUUGACGAGGGGAAUGUGUUCUGAUCUGUAAUUUGAUGCUCCACCGAAUUUCUAGGUCUCAUAUGCCUUGUAGAACAUGCAUUAAGAAUACUGGUUUACUUUCUGGCUUAAAAUGUCGAAGUGCCAAAAUCGUUAUCGUGUCAGAUAUAAUGUUGAUUUAUGCUGAUUUUAAUUUUGCCCUUAAUCCCCAGUAGUGGAGUCGGUUCUCUAUCACUUACUCUUAUAUUGUGCACUAGUUCGGCCUGAGAAAUAUAUUAAAGAUGCGCGUGCCUGCUGAAUGCUAGGCCGCUUGCGUGAUAAAGAAUGCACAUCGUCGGGACUGACGGAGAGUCUACCAAACCGUUUGGUUUAGACCUCUGUUCAAUUAACUACUCGUAUGUUUGAGAUGAGCAAGAAAAUAUGAAGGUCAUUACAUAUUCAUACCUUUUUCUAAUAUUGUCGCUUAGCUCAAUCAAGGUCAUUCUUGAUUAAACACACAUAUAAUGAAAGUUCCUUCAGCCAUGACCAUCCCACCUUGUUUGGUCGACGUAGGACAACAUUAUAUAACGUAUCUUUUAAGAUAGUAGCUUGUGUGAUUUGCUUGAGUUAUUGGUUGCAUUUUCGAGCAGGCUGAGCAACCAGAUAGAAGCGCCUUCGUCGGCCCAUAUCUCUUUUUUCUUUUAUCUCUCAUUGGUAAGAUUGACGUUACGAAAGGUGAAAUUCUUUUAUCGGGAUCGAAACAUUGUGACAGUACACAUAGCUCCAAAAUCUUACCUCCCGCUCUUUCGUGAUGUUCACCCAUCAGUUUAUUCAGCUGAAAUAUCGAUUAGGAUGUAUGAGGAAUAUUACGUAGUUGGAACGACCCAGUCUGAAGAUAAGCGAGCUCUGAAUAGCUGCAGCUCGUUGAGGAAUAUUGAUUAUUUAAGGAGAGGAGAACUAUGAUUUACAAUGAAAUGUUAGCACACAGUGAAUUUAUUACAGAUAUCUAAAAGGUUGUGAAAUAACGGAGUUAAUAUGACUGUCUUGACAUAGCAUUAUACACAUUCUGCUACUGGAAUGUUAUAUCAACUCUGUGAUUAUCUGUAGCUACGUGUCAUUGUUUAUGAGUGAGUGUGCGAAUGUAUAGAUACAUACACUCACAUACACAUUAUAUAUAUAUAUGUGUGUGUGUGUGCACGUGUGUGUGCAUGUAUAUAUGUGUGUGUGUGUAUAUAUAUAUUAUUUAAAUAAUAUGUAUAUAGGAGGAUUUUAUGUAUGCAUUGUAUAUAUUAUAUAAUAUAUUGUAUAUUAUAUAUUAUAUAUAUUUAGAGAGGAAGAGAGAGAGGGAGAGAGAAAGCGAGAGAGAAGGUAAGUGAAGCAAAUAUAUUUACAUUAUUCACGGGUGUAUGAAACUCCUAUUAUGUAUAUGUGUGUGUGUGUGUGUGUGCGUGCGCGUGUGUGUGUGUGUGUGUACACGUAUAUAUAUAUGUGUGUGUGUGUGUGUGUGCAUAUAUAUAUGAAUGUAUGUACUUAUGUCCGUCCGUCUGUCAGUCUGUAUGUAUGUAUGUUCGUGUCUAUGCAUAUAUGUAAAUGUGUCAAAUACUAAGAACCUUAGCUUUUAUAUAGAUUUGUGCGUAUAUUACUAUUUUGGUAACAUUGAAAGAAAUUUUUUUCGUUUAGAAAAUAAGUGAAGCAUCAUCAUCAUCAUCGUCGUCAUUAUUACCACCACCACCACCACCAUCAACAUCACCACCAUCAUCAUCAUCAUCAUCAUCAUCAACUGCAUCAUUAUCCUCAUUAACAUAUAUAAUUUGGCUAAUGGCAGAUUUGGCAAUGCGCCGUAUUAAAUAGCAGGGGUUGAUAUAAUACUCGCCUUACUCUUCAUCACCAAAGCCUGUUACAUCGUAUCUAUGAUAUAAAUCAUUAUCACAAACUGCAGAUAUUGGCAGAAGUUUUAAAAUGGUGCACUUAUAGCUUUUCGGCAUUACUCAACAUCGUAAUACACUGUGAGUUCAAAUCACGCCCAGUUUGACUUUGUCGUGCACCACCGCUCUGGGAUUCAAUAAGAUAUUUGUCAAUCAUAUUAAUUAACUAAGUAUGCCUUUAUAAAAGUCAUAACUGUCAUGUCUGUGUUGUUCUUAUCUUUUACUAGCAGUAUCGCCCGGCGUUGCUCGGGUUUGUUUCGACCCUUUAGAAUUGGCAUUUUUGAAAAGUAAAAAUUUGGCAUUAUGUAGCUUGUUUUUUUCUUUAAGUGAACAUUUUUCUGGUUGAAAAUGGCGACAAAGCAGUCAAAAAAUCGUAAAAGAUAGGGAUUUUCAUAGAAAAAAAAGCACCUUUUUGAUGUAAAUAAUUUUUGGUGUUAACAUGGUCCGAUUUGAAUUUUUUCUUCUACGGAAGUAAGAGCAAGCCUUCUUCUAUCAUACUCUCAAUUUUGGUCAACUUGCGCUGCAGGAUCUCUGAGGAGAUAGUGUUAGUUGAGGGCUACCAAACCUGCCAUACACAGACAACUUCAGCUUUAUAUAUAGAGAGAUUAAUAAGGCUUAAUAAUUCGGCGCGGGCAUGACUGUGUAGCAUUUCGUGAGUAAGAAAUCAUUUAGUUGAACAACAGGAUGUUCAUCCUCGGGACCAACUGAGAACCACCAUAAAUGUGAAUUGGAAAAUCAGUCAAACCUUGGAUUUAAUACCAGCAGAUACGUAACUGUAUCCUUAUGCGUCUGUGUUUGAAUCCCGCUGAACCCAGCUUUGAUAUUCGACCUUCCAGAGUCGCUUAACUGAGGACCAAUAAAAUCGACAAUAUCGCUCCUCCUCAAAAAUAUGUUAUUUUAUGGGUAUAUUCGAAAUCAACAUAGAUCAGGACAAAAUGACAGAAUCGUUAGCACGCCGGGCAAGAUACGUUCUGAAGUCAAAGUACGACGAGGUAGACUUUGCCUUUCAUCCUUUCGGAGUCGAUAGAAUAAGUACCAGGUGGGCACUGGAGUCGAUGUAACCGACUUACGCAACCCACCCCAGGAACAUGCUGACCUUCUACCAGAAUUUGAAUCCAGAAUUAUGUGUAUAGACGUGAAGACGGCAUAUAUGUAGGCAUAUAUCCGACGGGCUGUUUUCAGUGUCUUUCUACCAAAUCCACUCACAACGCUUUGUUCGACCCGCAGCUAUAAUAAAAGAUACUUGCCCUAGAUACCACGCAGUAGGACUUCUUACCACACAUCCAUGUCUAUGCCUAUAUAUGUAUAUAUUUAUACAUACAUAUAUAUAUAUAUACAUACAUACAUAUAUAUAUAUAUAAUAUAUAUAUAUAUAUAUAUAGUUAAUCCAAACAAGAAAACACAGAAAAAAACACAGCAACGCGAGGACGUGGAACAAUUAAAGUAUUAUUUGACGCUCAGGAAAGAAGGGAAGGAGGGUUUAACGUUUCGAGCGGAGCUCUUCGUCGGAAACAAGGAGAAGGAAAGAUCCCAAGAAGGGAAGACAGAGGAAAAAAUAUUUUUGCUGGUGGUGCUCAAGAGAUCACAUGUUGAUAUAUAUAUUUAUAUAUUUAUAUAUAUACAUAAUUAUUAGCAACAGAAGUAGUUUUGUUACCAAGUGACAACUUAAUGUGGAUUUAUUGUUACAGCGUCGAAUGCUGCGUUAUUUACUUUGAGAGGACCUCUGAUAUGGAGUGUGGUGCAUAAAAGUACACAUAUUUAUAUCUCUUGAAGAAAGCAUCAUCUGCAAUCAGUGCCGGAAAUGUCUGAUCACGUAAUUUCAGCGUGCCUCGUCUCCUCAGUGGAAGACGUCCGACAAUCGAAUACUAGUCAGCUGAAAUUAUAUCGCUGUCAGUGAGAUUUCACUGGUACGAGGCUACCAGACGUCUGACAAUAUAUAGAAAUUAAGCUGAAUAUAAAGAUUGUCAUACACACACACACACAUAUGUAUGUGUGUAUGUAUGUUUGUAUAUUUCAGAUUCGGAGAUGUGUAUAUAGGACAGAGCGAGAGAGCGAGAGAACGAGAGAGAGACAGACAGACAGACAGAAAGAGAGAGAGAGAGUGAGAGUUGACAACUAUUACUAUAGUGGCCACCUCGUCGAUUCUUUGAUUGUAUCGCUACUGACGAUGUUGGUACUAUUGUUAAUGUCUCUGCUGUUAUUGUUCCUGUCGUUACGACUACCAUUCCCGCUACUGUUGCAAUCGCUGUUGGUGCUAAUCUCCCUAUUGUUAUAAUAUUACUGUUUGUAACCACUGCUGCUUCCGCUGUUGUAACAUUUGCUGGAUUUACUACCGUUGCUAUUGCUAUUUUACUUGCUGUUGCUAUUAGUAUUGCAAAUGUUGUUGCUAUUGAUGCUGUUGUUACUGUUGGAGCCGUUGUUGUUUGUUAUUGCUAACCUGUAUGGUGAAUAAAGAAAUAGUUGUUUGUUAUUGCUUCUGAUGUUACUAUUGUUGCGCGUGUUGCUAUAACUACUGUUCUCGUUGAUUUUGUUAUUUGCUGUUGGUGUUAUUGUCGAUGCAGUUGUUAUUAUUGUUGUAAUCAUCAUCACCCUCAUCAUCAUCAUCACCCUCAUCAUCAUCAUCAUCAUCAUCAUAACCAUUGUCCUCCUCCCCUCCGCCUUCUUUCUUCUCCCCCUCGUCAUCACCAUCCACCUCCUCAUCACAAUCCCCUUCCUCAUCAUCACCAUCCUCCUCGUCACCAUUCUUCUCAUCAUCAUCAUCAUCAUCAUCAUCAUCAUCAUCAUCACUAUCACCAUUAUCCUCCUCCUCUUUUCCUACUACGACUACUACUACCACCACCACCACUCCACCACCACCACUCCACCCCCCACCUACACCCCCACCACUACUACUACUACCUUUUACUAGAACUAUUGUUAUUAGCUCUACUAUUAUCAUUAUCUUUAUCAUUAUCAUUAUUUUCAUUAUUAUUAUUAUUAUUAUAAUUAUUAUUAUUAUUAUUAUUAUUAUUAUAUUGCUUUAUGUGUAAACCAGCAGUAUUGCUCACAUUGUCCUCUCCAUUAUUUGCUCGUUUCUCCUAGGUUCUAUAAAUAUCCCAGCUUUUCACAAUAACUGUUAAAUAUCCAUCAAAUAUCUCAUACAACUAAUUAUCCUUGACUUCAUAUCGUAUUUAUUAUAACCAGCGUUAAUUAGAUUUGGCAAGUCUACAAUGUGUUGUUUUUUUUAUUUCAUAUUUUUUUCUUAUCUUUGUUUAUGUUUUGUUACCUUUCCUUUUUUAUUCGUAAUUAAAUUCAACUUUGCUUCACGUACGUUGAAAGUUUCUCUCUUAGAAGAAUUUGCUGACCUUCGGCCAACUCAGUGGUAUUACUGAAGUUGUCAGUUAUCUGUGUGCGUGUGUGCGUACAGUCAUGCAUAAAGUAUAUAUAUAUAUAUAUAUAUAUAUAUAUAUAUAUAUAUAUAUAUAUAUAUACAUAUGCAUAUAUAUAUAUACAUAUCUAUGGAUAUAUAUAUAUACAUAUACAUAUAUAUGUAUAUAUAUAUAUAAUAUAUAUAUUUAUGUAUAUAUAUAUAUAUUUAUGUCUAUAUAUAUAUAUAUAUAUAUAUAUAUAUAUAUAUAUAUGUUUAUGUAUAUGUAUAUAUAUAUAUAUAUAUAUAUAUAUAUAUGUGUGUGUGUGUGUGUGGCGUAAGCGCAUAUAUUAAUUUUACGUGCAUGCAAACAUAUACACAUUCACAAAUAUAUUCAUAUAUAUAUACCUACAUACAUGUACAUACAAAUGAAUAUAUGUACACAUAUAUACACAGAUGUAUAUAUAUAUAUAUAUGCACAUAUAUAUAUAUAUAUAUAUAUAUAUAUAUGCACAUAUAUAUAUAUAUAUACGCAUAUAUAUAUAUGUGUAUAUAGACAUUAUAUAUGCAUAAAUUUGUGUGUGUGUGUGUAUGUGUAUAGAAAGAUAGAUAUAUACAUAUACAUGUGCAUGUAUAUUUAUAUGUAUAUAUAUAUGAGGAGAGAAAGAGAGAGAGAGAAAGAGAGAGAGAGAUGGGCAUGUAUAUGUGUUUAUAUUGGUUUGAGCGGUAAGGUAUAUUUAGAGAGUAACUAACUGCAAAUACUUUAUAGCCUAAGAGUACAUAAAUUGUCUACUGAAUACCAAUGUUUUCUAAAAUACCUAGAGGAAUCGAGACAUUAACAUGCAGAUGACCCACAUUAUAACUUUUACAGUAGUGCCUGAAUAUUGUAUUAACCUUUGGUGCGCUCCUCUUGACGCGUCUGUCGUUUCUGUCUCAUUAACCCAACAAAAUACACGCUGGCUACUCACCACGACUCCCGAUGCAGUUUAUGGGUUAUGCGUUGUAUUGACUGCUCCACACGAUAUCCCACGCAAUACUAACCUUCAGCAAUAUAAUCUGAAUAAUGCACACGCACACAUACACACUAAUGACAACUGGAAAGGGAGAUAACCACAAGAAUCAAGAUUUCUUCAAAGUUGAUAUACCAUUAAGGAGAAGGGCAAGCUUAUUGUAUGGAGGAAAAAGUACAUGUGAGAACACGUGUUUCUGGCACAGUAGCCGUCGUCUGCACAGCAUUUGCUUAGCUAUAUCUACAGUGCUCAAGAGACUUCUAUAAAAAAAGAAGUAAUUUAAAAUACUACGUACAGGAAUGCAUACAUAUAUGCUUAAUAUGUAUGCAUUGCCCCGCAGAUGAGAAUAUUCCCUUCCAAAUUCAGUGAGGAUAAUGAGUAUGGACAAGUGAAUAUCUACAGGUCUUCUACCAUGAUUAUAAAUUUAAAUUGAGAACAGAAUUUAACAUACACACAUGCAUACAUACAUAUGAUAGAUCAUUAGCUCCUACACGCAUUUUUUUCUCUCCUUGUUUUUUUCUGUGUAUCUUUCUGUCGAAGAGCGUAGGCUCGAAACGUAAAAGACUUUUCUAUUCCUGAGCGCCAUACUAAUAUAUUUGUUUGUUUGUACUCCACCUGCCUUCGUCUUUUGUUUAUUUUCGUAAACAUUCCCGUUAUAUACAUACAUACAUGCAUACAUACAUCCGACCAGAUAUUGUUGUAUUAGGCCACAAGGAAAAAUAUGUUAAGUCGUGGAAAACAUGUACCCACAGGAGAACAAUGUGGUUAGAAAAAUACAAGAGAAAGAGGAUAUAUACGGACUACUAAUCAGGCAUUUGCAAAUCCAGUACCCAUGAUGCACUUUCAGCUUCAUACCUAUCAUUAUUAUUAUUAUUGGAGAAACAGGAUAUAUACGAACCCGUCCGGAUCAAAGUGUGGUUGAUCGUGGGUUCUUGGGGAAAGAAUGCAAAUCAUACACUACAUAGAAGCGCGAUAUAUGGAACAAUAGAAAUCUGCAAAACUUUUCUUCAGAUUUGAGGGAUUUGAUGAACAAAUCCAGAGUCUUUCCUUCACGACCUUGCUACCAAGCAGGUGAUAGGUCAACAUUUAGUCGAAAUUAAGAUGAGAAAGAGUACAUAUAUACAUAUAUACACAAACACAUACGUAUUUACGUAUAUACAUACAUAACAUAUAUACAUACGUACGUACAUACAUAUAUCACUGGAACUAAAACUCUGUAAAACUUUCCAGAAGCUUAUAUAUAUGAGCAUGUCUAGAUAUGUAACUAUAUGCAUCAGAAUACAUACAUAAAACAUACAAAUCUGUACAUACAUACAUACAUACAUACAUACAUGCAUGCAUGCAUGCAUGCAUACAUACAUACACACAAAUGUACCCCGUUGUUGAUAUUGAAAUUCCAGUGAAGGAGCCUUGGAUCUAGAUUAUAAACCUGUUCUUUCUCUAUUGGCAAGAAAUAUUGAAAUAAACUGAAUAAUGACAUACAUACAGUCUUACUACUGUUCUUUUCAUCCUCAUAAAGUGUUGAACUCUAAACUUUGCCCAGCACAAGUAGACAUUAUUUGAUUGCGUUCACAGCAGUAGUUUCAGACCAAACGAAAUCAUGCGAUACACACCUAAGGGGAACCUUUUGAUGAUGCUUUACACCUAUUUAAACUAUACUGCAUUAAUCUAUAAGUCUUAAAUAGAUUUCGUAUUACAGAUAAAAUGCUAUAUAGUUGAACCAUUAUCCUUGAGGGACGACAUUAGGAGAAGUUUAUGUUUCGUCAUGGAAUCAAGUCACGUUGUAUUUGCUUCUACGUUUGAUGCCAAAUGCGAUCAAGUCAGACGUGAUGUGCAUUAGGUUGACUCGGGUUUACUAGUAUAGCGUGAGGUCAGACUUGGUCAAACUUUCAGCAUCUGUGCAUGAGGGGUUUCACCCCCAUAUUACAUUAAAUAUUUUUUGCGUGCUGUUUGACUAUACUGAGUGCAUGUUAAAGAAGACCCGUGAGAUAAUCCCAGGGUCACACAUUAGAUAUAUGUGGAAGGUUAGUCCCGGCUCAGUAUCAGAUUGAUGUCGCCAGCCUCUAUAGAAAUAAUUUUUCCUUAAUCAACACGAAGUUUAUUAUAAAGGGAAAAGAAACCAUAACAGAAAACAAAAUGAAGUAAAAAUCACUAUAUUAAAGCAUAAAAACAUUAUCAUCAACACAGCGUCUUCCCUAUCAACAAUAGUUUAAAGAAAUUAAUCCACAACAUAACGUGCUUCGAAUGAUAUAUUUUCAACAAUACGAAUGCUGAGCCGAGAUCGUUGCUACUAUAGCGACUGGAGCGAAAUAUCAAAUGCUCAUUUGAAUGUAGAUCGUGAUUAUUAAAUACAAAUAUUUUUACUGUUCUUUAAAUAAAUACUUCUUUCACUGAAAGUAAAUAACAAAAACGACCGCUUGUUUUUCUGCACGUACGUACGUACGUACAUAUGUAUGUAUGUAUGUAUGUAUUAUGUAUAUGCAUGCUUGUAUGUAUAUAUGUAUGUGUAUAUAUAUAUAUAUAUAUGUGUGUGUGUGUGUGUGUGUGUGUGUGUGUGUGUGUGUGUACACAUAAAUACAUACAUGCAUAGAUAUGUACACUUCUCUUUAUGUAUACACACAUACAUACAUACAUGCAUACAUACAUACAUAGAGGCACACACACACAUACACACACACACAAACAAACAAGCAAACACACACACAUAAUCCACAUAUAGAAUUUGCACUUUAGAGAUAGUAAAUUAUAUUAUCUCAAAACAAAUAUAUGGUAAAUGAAUAUAUAAUGUUUUCAGCUAAUUUUGUGAGAUUUAGUUUGUACUUAGUGUUAAGCACAAAAAUAAUUUUCAUUUGUCUUUUCUUUUUUUUUUCUACUUGUCCCAGCCAUUGGCUGCGGCCAUGCUGGAGCACCGCCUUUAAGGGUUUUAGUCGAAUAAAUCGACCUCAGGACUUAUAUUUUUUAAAGCCCAUUACUCAUUCUAUCAUUCACUUUUGCCGGACCGCUAAGUUACGAGAACGUAAACACACCGACACUGCUUGUCAAGCGGUGGGGAAAGGAACAAACGACACACACACACACACACACACAUAUAUAUAUAUAUAUAUAUAUAUAUAUAUAUAUAUAUAUAUAUAUAUAUACGUAUACGCAUUUUCGAUGGGCUCUUUUCAGUUUCCGUCUAUCAAAUCCACUCACAAGGCUUUGGUCGGCCUUGACUAUAGUAGAAGACAUUUGCCCAAGGUGCCACGCAGUGGGACUGAAUCCGGAACCAUGAGGUUGGUAAGCAAGCUACUUACCACACAGCCACUCCUUUCUGCUGUAUUUAUAUUUGAUAUGCUUUCCCCUACUUUUGUUAAAAUGCAAAGAUCCCCCAAAUUAAUUCUAUGUAACACACCUGUUUUUAUACUUAACAGAGAUAAGGCACACCAAAAAUUAGGUUACCAAUUUUAAAGUGAUUUCUUUUGUGUCGUAAACCACAUACCAUUUCUGUGGUGUCUCCUUCUGUUCCCUUGAUGUCCCAUGGACGUGCUGAUUUUGCUUAAUGGUUAAUCCAGUGCUGCUCCGAACUGUGUGUGUUGUACGGUUCUGUAUCUCCAGUACAGGACAUGCGAUGGGAUCUAUACCUGACGGUAUGCAUAGAGAACAGGUUGCUGUCCAUGUAGCGUUGAUACCAAAAGAAAAUCACGGCCGUUACAAUUUCACGUCAUUGUCAUUGCAGGACUAUGUUGCUAGAACAGUGUUUACUCCCGAAGCCCCUUUUCACGUGCAGAAUUAGGACUGGGCAAAGUGGUUCAGUUUGGGGGACGGCAUUAGAAGGACGAUCGGACAUGAAAGAACCGCGUGUACUUAAAUAGAGCUGGAGAGGAGACGAGUCAACUUGUAAGGGGUAGAUGUUGUAGUUAGCAGUAGAAAAUGAGCGAGGAGAUAGCGCCAUCUGCAGGGCAGGUGUUGUGAUGUGUGAAUUAAUGGCUACAGAGCAUUACGUCUAUUUCUAAAUGUCUACAUGUCUAAUUUGCAUAGCUGUCGGAUUCAUUAACAUUACACUGUUGUCUUACAACGGCACUGUUUUUCUUACUUUUUUUCUUUCCGUCUUUCCGAUCUGAUUCUCUCUCUCUCCAUCUCCCUCUCCCCCUCCCUCUCUUACACUCACUAUACGCACUUUGAAGGAAAUUAAUCACUCUCACUCCUCCUCGCUCAAGACCCUCUGUGUUUGCAUAAAUGUGUGUGCGUGUGUGUGUGCGCGCGCUUGUGUCUGUAAAUAUAUAUAUAUGUGUGUGUGUGUGUGUAUAAAUGUGUGUAUAUAUAAAUGUGUGUAUAUAUAUAUAUGUAAAUACGUGGUUAUAUAUGUGUAUUUAUACAUCUGUAUACAUAUUUACUCACACAUAUGCAAUUAUAUACACACAUGCAUACACAUAUGCACAUGUGUGUGUAUAUAUAUAUAAAUGUAAAUAUAUACAUAUAUACACACAUAUGCAUAUAUAUAUAUAUAUAUAUAUAUAUAUAUAUAUGUAUAUAUAUAUAUAUAUAUACAUACACACACACACACACACACAUACACAAGUGUGUGUGUAGAUAUAUAUGUGUGUAUAUUGCUUAUUUACCUAUCUGUCAGUAUGUUUUCCAUUUUCUAUUUCCGUCUGUAAUUACUUGUGUGUUGUUGAUUCCCUUCCCCCGGCACUCCACCCCCUUCUCACCAGCGUUCUUAAUAUAAGUUACCUCUGUCUACCUAUAGCAUGCACUGUUGGUUGCCAUAGUAACCCUACCUGUUUCACUCGUGUUUUGCCUCAUUAGAGGAAGUAAAAAUUCCAGAAUGUUCGCUGAAUUCUGACAGUAAAUCAUCAUGAUCUGUUAGCUUCAAACGCCUAUACCAAAUAUCAAAGACGGUCGGCCCAGAUGGGGAUCACAGCCGUGUAAACAUACACGCACACACGUACCCAUAUUUAUAUAUAUAUAUAUAUAUAUAUAUAUGUGUGUGUGUGUGUGUACGUGCGUGCGGAUGUGUGUGUGUGUGUGUAUGUUUGUGUAGGACAUAGAACCUUUAGAUACCAAAGGUUCAUAUGUUAUAUUCACAUAUGUUCUAAUAUCCGAGCAUAUACGUCAUAUUGCUUCCAGUAUACGCACCAAAAACACACAUUUACACACCUGCGCAGGCACACAUAAACAUACAAACACACACACAUGCGCACACACACAUGUAUGUAUGAGUAUAUAUAUACACACACAUAUGUAUAUACAUAAACACAACCGAUUUUAAUCAGAUCUCUCUCAAGGUAUGGAACACUAGUGGGGUAUUAACGUUUUUAUUUCAAUAAUUUAUGUAUUGAGUAUCUAUCUAUCUAUCUUUCUAUCUAUCAAUCUAACUAUCUAGCUAGCUAUCUCUAUCUCUCUCUUAAUAUAUAUAUAUAUAUAUAUAUAUAUACACACAUUCACGCUUAUAUACAUACACGUAUCCAUAUGUGUAUAUAUAUAUAUAUAUAUAUAUAUAUAUAUAUAUAUAUAUAUAUAUAUAUAUAGAUAGAUAGAUAGAUAUGUAUGUAUAGAUAUGUAUGUCUGCCCGUGUGUGUUUCUGUCUGUGUGUAUAUGUGUGUGUGUUCGUGUAGCACAAUUAUCUCUACACACACAUACACAUGAGUAUAUAUAUAUACACACACACAUAUGUAUAUACAUAAACACAACCGAUUUUAAUCAGAUCUCUCUCAAGGUAUGGAACACUAGUGGGGUAUUAACGUUUUUAUUUCAAUAAUUUAUGUAUUGAGUAUCUAUCUAUCUAUCUAACUAUCUAGCUAGCUAUCUCUAUCUCUCUCUUUAUAUAUAUAUAUAUAUAUAUAUAUAUAUAUAUAUAUACACACAUUCACGCUUAUAUACAUACACGUAUCCAUAUGUGUGUAUAUAUAUAUAUAUAUAUAUAUAUACACAUAUAUAUAUAGAUAUAUAGAUAUGUAUGUAUAGAUAUGUGUGUCUGCCCGUGUGUGUUUCUGUCUGUGUGUAUAUGUGUGUGUGUUCGUGUAGCACAAUUAUCUCUACACACACAUACACGCACGCACACUCACAUAAUAGCAUGCGUAGGUUGUGUGUCUGCAUGAAUACCUCUCCAUAUAAGGCCUGUUGUGCGUAUGUGUGCUUGUGUGUCUACAUGUGUGUUUGUGUGUGUGUGUGUGUGUGUGUAUGUGUGAACGCGUCUUUGUACCUCUGUGUAUCUGUCAACAUGUGUACAUAUACAUAUGUGUGUGUGUAUGUGUGUGUGUGUGUGUGUGUGUGUGUGUGUGUGUGUGUGUGUGUGUGUGUGGUGUGUGGAAAUGUGCGUGUUCGUGCGAGUGCCUAUGUAUACGAGUAAUUUGAUUAUAUGUGCGUAAGUGCAGUGCAUGUUGAUUCUAACCGGAGGCAAAUUGUGCUGUUUGAAUCAUUUGCCAUUUUAAACAGCCAGAACCGUACAUUUGUGUUAAUGUCAAUGUUUUGUUCUUCGCAGCGUGUCCUCAGUUAUAUUAUUUUCUGUGAUACGAAGAGGAUCAUGUCUUUCACACAGAAGAUACAUAAAAAAUGUAAGUACUUUUGUUGAUGAUUCGGUCAGUGUCUGAGUGAUCUUCAUCAAAAGUUCUCUUUACUCUUUGAUAUACAUGAGUUAGUUUCUGUAUUUACGCAUGUACGUUUGUGUUUGUGUGUAUGGAUAGAUAGGUAGGUAGCAAGUUAAUGCAGAAGCGAAAGAGCUACUAAUGGUUUUAUACCUUUAUACUUUAGUGUGUUUGUGUGUGUGUGUGUGUUAUAAUCAACCUCUGGAUAUCCUUGUUGCUUAUUUUGAUUAAAUAUAUGUGUGUGUGUGUGUAUCUGUUUCAUCCUUAUUACUGCGCAUAUAUAUGAUAUGCUAUAUCAUAUAUAAAUGCAUAUACAUAUCCUUGUAUAUGUUUAUAGAUACACUUAUCUGUAUCUGCAUGCAUACAAUACCUCAUAUACGUAUAUGUGUGUGGUAGUAAGGAAUAACAAAAAUGGUUGUAAAGGAUUCAUUAAUACAUCUAUGUAUAUAGUUAUAUAUGUAUAAAACUACAUGCACACAUCUGGAGAUGCAUACCACUAAAAGAAGAUUGGAAUGGCAUUCAAAAUAUUUGCUUCUUGAAUUUCUUUUUCCACUCUAAUCACUUAAAUUAUUUCAGUAUUUAACUUCUAUUUGUUGAUGUCAAAGCCUCGCUUGUACAACAUAUGCUGUCUUAUUACCGCUGCUAAGCUAUUUGCUCAUUAUUUUUCAGUACUUGGAGGGGGCGAGCUGGCAGAACCAUUAGCUCGUCUUUUAGCGGCAUUUCUUCUGGGUCUUUACUCUCUGAGUUCAAAUACUGUCAAGGAUAGCUUUGCAUUUCAUUUUCGCGGGGUCGAUAACAUAAGGUACUCGUCCAGUUGUUGGACUGAUAUAGUCGACUUAACACUGACUUUCAAAAUUACUGGCCUUGUGCCAAAAUUUGACACAAUUGAGUAAAUGUAUGCUACCUCUCUGAAUGUACCCAUGUAGUUGUGUAUUAUUUUGGUUAUUGUUUAUUCUCCAGAGAAAGAACGCCAGUGUCGAUGGUCGUUUUGGGUGUCGUCCAGACUCGCUAGAAGAAGGAAGAAAACGUUUUCCUUCUGAGACUGGAGAAAUGGCUCGGAUACUUGCAACAGGGAGUAAUUCUUCUUAAAGCCACGCUCAUAAAAAAACAAAAACGGCUCAGCACCGGGUUUUCACUCAGUUUUCUUUUCCGCACUUUAACUUACAAAGCAGUUACCGAUCCUAGGAUAGGAUACAGACAAGAAACCGAAAAAUAUUGAAAAAAGGCUUGUUCAAAGUGCCACGCAUUAGGAGUGAACUCGAAUCUCCCUUGUUACGAACCGAACUUUAUAACCAUACUGUCAUGUAUAAGGUCUAUCCGAGUUGACUAAUGAAUUCUCAAAGAAACCAGUCCAUCGUAGUAAUGUGAGAAUCGGUUCAUCUCAGCUAUAACACAUCGUAUCUUUUUCCACCCAAAUAUAAUACGCCAUAUUAUUGCGUUUGUUCUUAUUAAAAGAUCUUAAGCUGAUAGAGCGUAGUUUUGAGGGAUAUUUGGAACAAUCUACGGAAUAAACAUAAGUACAUUUACUUCUUGCCAAUGAGAGCUGGGGAUCUCAGCAUGAUCAUUCAAUAUUUAAUAAAUAGCAGCCAAAUGAUCCACUUAGAUUACGAGGACAUCUCUUAGAAAAGAAUCACAAUGGAUUAUUGGAUCACGUGAACAUAGCGCAAACGUGACUGUGUGGUAAGAAGCUUGCUUCCCAACCACAUGGUUCCAAUUUCAGUCCCACCGCGUGGCACCUUGAGCAAAUGUCUUCUACUAUAGCCUCCGGCCGAGCAAAGUCUUGUGAGUGGAUUUCGUACACAGAAAGUAAAAGAAGCCCGUCGUAUAUAUAUAUAUAUAUAUAUAUAUAGUGGAUUUGAUAGACGAAAACACUAAAAGAAUCCUGUUGUGUGUGUAUAUAUAUAUAUAUAUAUAUAUAUAUAUAUAUAUAUAUAGAGAGAGAGAGAGAGAGAGAGAGAGAGAGAGAGCGUCAGCCCGACGCUACAGUUAGCUCAAGCUAAAGAUAUAUAUAUAACUUUGUGUGUGUCUUUGUGUUUGUGUUUCUCCCUCGCUUGGACAACUUGUAACUUGUGUGUUUACACCCCCAUAACUUAGCGGUUUGACAAAAGAGCCAGAAUAAAUACCAGGCUUUAAGAAAAAUAUAAGUACUGGGACCGAUUCAUUCGACUAAAAGUUCUCCAUCGCGGUGCCCCAGCAUGGCCUCAGUUUAAUAACUAAAACAAAUAAAAGAUAAAAGAUGAGUGCACUGUGCUUAGAAGAGAGACGGGACAGUCACGGCUGGAACAACUUUGACUGCGGCUUUGUUCAAUCACAUUUAAUGUAGGCUUAGACAGCAGUAAUAAGCUUCACCUACUUUUAGCUUAAAAUUGUAUUAACCUCUUCAUUCUAUUCCUUUCGUUACGUUGCGUUUCUGGUGAGAAAUCGCCAGAAAAAGUAUAGCAGACCAUUUGGGAAUAUUAUUGGCAGAAAUAAACUAACUUGCCACCCAAUGGAGAAUGUUUUCCAUAUCCUGCUUCACACAAACAGUCUGUUGCUAUACACCAGUUAUCAAACUCCGUCCUAAUCCCUGGAUCAUUUGAAAUAUUCUCUAUUCAUUUUUUUAACUCAGUGAAGCCAGAAAUGCUUAAUUGCAUUAAUAAUUAUUAUGUCGGUAUUAGUGUGUAUAUGUAUGUGUGUGUGUGUGUGUGUGAAUGUGUGUGUGUGCGUUCAUAUGUGUAUGUGUGUGUGUACCUCGAAUUAUUAUAACUUGAUAUCCAUUAAUUUUCAUGCUAUGAGUGAUGACGGCGGCGGUGUCGUUGUGAACAAGUGUUUAUCCGUUAAACAAUGCAUCAAAGUAUUUAAAAUUUUCAUUACGGGAUUGAUCUUCCACACUGGGGUUCUUUAGAUAAUAAACACAUCAAAUUAACCUUUCAGUGACAUUAGAAUAUCCAAUGCCGUGUGCGUUAGUCUUGUGAAAUAUCAAAUUACAUCACCGUUGAGUUAGUUUCAAAAUGGAGGAAAAUAUAUGUCAUGAAAUGUUAUCUGGACGAGUUGAUUUCAAAAUGUUACCGUUUCACUUUUCUAUUGGCAGAUUACUGUAUUGAUGCUAAUAGAUUUAUGGCCGCUCGUCUAUUUUUUUUUCUUUUCAUUUUCAUAUUAUUUCGCUUGUUUGUUAUUUGUUUUACUUAACAUGAUUCUCUCCUGGAUGGAAUAAUUUCUGUUACAAAGCUCUUCAUUAAAGUUAUACAGUUAUUGUUAUAGACAUGGUAAUAGUUUUCGAAUUCACGUUCAAAUGGUCAAAUGAAUAAGACUUAUAAUGUAUACUGAAGAGUUUAUGUUGUUGCCGUUGUUGCUGCUGAUGGCAAUGAUGAAGAAAAUGAUGAUGACGAUGACGAUGAUGAUGGUGAUGAUGGUGGUGAUGAUGAUGAUGAUGAUGAUGAUGAUGAUGAUGAUGAUGAAGAUGAAGAAGAAAAUGAUGAUGACGAUGAUGAAGGUGAUGGUGAUGAUGAUGGUGAUGAUGACGAUGAUGAUGAUGAUGAUGAUGAUGGUCUACGUAUAAUAAUCCUGUUUCUGUACUACAAAAGGGUACAUGUGGAUUUACAUACAAAGAUAUAUACAUACAAACACACAUACACUCACAAACACACUGAUAUGAAUGUGUGUAUUUAUAUUGUGUAUGUAUGUGUCCAUGCAGGACAGUAUGAAUAAGAUUUUCGCUUUCCAGCUACACAGUUUCCCGUUAGGUUUCGCUACAUACGGCAGUCCUGUGUUGAUUAUCAUCUACCUAUUCUCGGAGUCACUGAUCUGAAAGCAGAGGUAGAGCCAUGAAAUCCAAUUCACUGACCGUCUCUGAUGUUGUAUGUCGGUCUUUCUUUCGUUUUCUAAGUCCUUCUAGCCAGAAGGUGGCUUUAACUCAUGUGGCUUUAACUAAUGGUGUCAAAAAUGGGCUUUCCGUUUUCCUCAAACGGUCGCAUUUGUUUAUCUUUCGCCACUGCAAUGGAAUAGCGUUGGGUCCUCGAAACUGCAUAUAGUUACUGACACUCUACAAAUUACAUCGACCCCAGUGUUUCACUGGUACUUGAUUUAUCGACCCCGGAAGGAUAAAAGGCAAAGUCAACUUCGAUGGAAUUUGAACGACGGGCGAAAUACCUAUUUCUUUAUUACCCACAAGGGGCUAAACACAGAGGGGACAAACAAGGACAGACAUAGGUAUUAAGUCGAUUACAUCGACCCCAGUGCGUAACUGGUACUUAAUUUAUCGACCCCGAAAGGAUGAAAGGCAAAGUCGACCUCGGCGGAAUUUGAACUCACAACGUAACGCAGACGAAAUACCGCUAUGCACUUCACCCGGCGUGCUAACAAGCAUUUCGUUCGUCCAGCAUGCUAACGAUUCUGCCACGUUGCCAAUGAUAAUGCGAAGUUUAUCAUAAAAACAUGCGUCUCACUGUGUUUAUUUACUUCGAGUAAUUAUCGACUGCAAGAAUCCACUGGAAUAUUGUGGAAGAACUAAAAUAUUGAUUUACAAUUAUAUUAAGAAGUAGUGUUUCAAGCACUAUUCCGAAAUUUACGCCCACGUACACGGGUGCAAACAUUCACAUGUGUAUAUAAAUAUGUGUAUAAAAAUAUAUAUCUAUGCGUGUGAGUAUAUAUAUAUAUAUAUAUGUAUGUAUGUAUGUAUGUAUGUAUGUAUGUAUGUAUGUAUGUAUACGUAUAUACGUGUGUACAUGUAUACAUAUAUAUCUACAUAUAUUUAUAUAUUUACAUUAAUGCAUGUAUAUAUUCAUAUAAGUAUAUGUAUAUAUAUAUGUGGGCGUGUAUGCCAAGUAUAUGUGUAUGUGUGUGUCUGUGUGUGUACCAAGUGUGUGUAUGUGUGUAAAGCUCUCCCUGUUAAACGUUCGUCCCCAUUGUUUGCAUGAUGGCAAUAUAAGCAAUCUUUAUGUAAUAUAUUCCAUGAAUUCUAUAAACAAGUAUCGCAAGCAGAAUAUUGGCAAGGAACUGAAUGGGAAAAUUUUGAAUUAAGUUAUUUUUGAUGUGUCUUUUUACUUUUUUCUGUGAGCAUAAUUUUUUUUCAAAGUUCUUGAAUAUAUACAAGGUAUUUAAAAAUAUUCCAAAAUGAUUCAAUAAAAUUCAGUUUUUAUAGCUUGGGAAAACUGGUGAUGAAGAAUGUUUUUUUUAGAACCAUGUGAGAUAACAUUCAGAACUCAAGAAUUAUUUUCUUUUGGGCUUUCUCAUUCUGGCCUAUUAUGCUUGCUAUGUAUUUCUCCUGGUUGGCCAUUGCUUCCCUAUAUUUUUCUGACACCUAUUUUUAGUGAUUCUUGCGUUAUAUAACUUCGGCAAAUACGGUUGACACACAGCUGAGCAGAAAGACGUUCAAAUAACACCGAGAGAUAUUCUCCAAGUUGUCCCUUCCUCGCCAGAGAAAUGAGAAUUCAGUGUUAGUCAAGGAUUAAGGCGGCGAGCUGCCAAAAUCGUUACAACACCGAGCAAAAUGCUUGGCAUUCAGUCCGCCUUUACGCUUUUGAGUUCAAAUCCCGCUGAGCUUCACUCUACCUUCCAUUCUUUUGGGGUCGAUAAAAUAAGAGCCAGCUGAGCAUUGGGAUCGAUGUAAUGGUCUUACGCCGCCUUACCCGAACUUUUGGUUGCCAGAAUUUGCAACCAAUAUUAAUCAUCGACUGUUAACGUUAUCUUAUCUUUUCAUUUUGUUACUGCAUAUUUCCAUGUCAUUUUUACGUGUCCGACAUAAAAUAUGUUAACAUUAGCUCAUUCGAUACAUAAACCCGUUCAACAGGUUUUUGCAAUCAUUUCUUUCCCAAUGCAAGGUCACGCUCUGAAACAUAGGAAUUCUACUCUUGUUAAGAUUCACAAACUUAUGCAAUUCUGCUAAAUAUGUAAACUACGCCAUUUCGCUUUAUUUGUGGGUUAACCAGGCUACCAUUGGUUUCAUGUGGAGAGAGGUAUGCCACUUACCCUUUUUUAAGAAUAUUCUAUGAGACGUUGCUGUUCGUCUCCAUCUUGUAUUAAGACAUUGACUAUUCAUUCUCACUGCUCGAUAUUAACAUACUUACAGACGUGUGUGUGUGUGCGUGUGUUUGUAGACGAGGUUUCUUGCUUAAUAUGUAUUUGCAAAUGAGUUUCGCAAACUGUACAUUUGUUUCCAAUUUUCUUUAUCAUACUUUCACUUUGUGUCACCUCUCCUCUUCCCGUGUCUUUUUCAUUCAUCGUCCUGCACUGUGCCAUGUGUGUGUGAGCGUGCAAGUAUGUAUAUAUAUAUAUACAUAUCCAUACACACUUCAUGGACACAUUUUCAUAUAUAUAUAUAUACAUAUAUACAUGCAUAUAUAUAUUUAUGUAUACAUACAUACAUACAUACAUACAUACAUAUAUAUAUAUAUAUAUAUAUAUAUAUAUAUAUAUAUAUGCAUGUGUGUGUGCGUGUUUGUGUGUGUAUGUGUAUGUAUGUAUUUUUUUUACAUGUGUAUCACUCUGCUUCCUUUCUCUGUUUUUCUAUUUCACUCAAACGACUUAUUUUCUUUCUCCCCACAUCUUCCCCUCUCUCUCUCUUUCUCUCUGUCUGUCUCUCUCUCUUUCCCUCUUUCCCUCUUUCUCUCUCUCUUAGUGCCUUUAAUCUCUCUCUUGUUUGUCUAUGUGUCUGAUUUCUUGUCUCUCUUUUUUCUCUGAUACAUGUUAUCUGCGCAUAACUUGUGCGUGUGUGUCUUUCUUCCACGCUGGUAGACAUUCAUUUCCAUCCUAAACCAUAAAACAAACAGUCAAUUUCUAUAUAAAACAAUUAGGCAACCUUACCACACCCCAACAACUAAGAACAUCUUCAAACUCUAUAGCCUGAAUCUAACAAUAAAUAAACUCUCUCAUUAAACGCUGCCAAAAUCAAUGGUUUAAAGCCACGUAAAAUAGAUGGAACCACGAAACUUCACACUUAUACGUUUCACGUAGAUGAUAACUUAACAGGAACCAUUCCAAAAUAUACAAAGAAUUGCACUAUGUAAAAUAAAUAAAAUAUCAACAGCCAUAGGGAUUUGAGAGAUAUAUUGUUCCAUUCGUCCGAAUGCUUUUAGUUCUUCCGCUGUGUGAAAGCAUGUUCGACUCUAAUAACAUGGAAAAUGUCCCCAGACUCCGGAAAUUAAGCAAAAUACGUAGUUGUUUAGUCAAAUAAUAAUCGUACAGAGCUGCCGAUACCAAUAAUGCCUGUCUUCCGUACAAGACAUAAAAGGAACCUACUGAUAUGGUUCUAGACUGUAUUAGGAGCUUUAGCUUUUGGCUGGUAUUCAACAUUUCUCCUCACCUCUGCACUGAACACUCUCAUGCUGUAUUGUUACAUGCUUGUUACAAAUAGUUUACACUAACCUAAGAUGGGCUCAACUACUAAUAACUUCUUUUCCAGCAACCAAUAUGUUGCUCCCCGCCACACACACACACAUAUACCUCAAACGCAGUUAAGCCUUAUCAAUGCGUAUCUUGGCAGAGGGAAACUGUUAUUUUAUAGAUGUACCCACAUUAAUAUAUAACUUCUUAUUGCGAGACGAAACUUUGCAUAACAAGUAUUACAUGUGAUUCAUAGACAUAUCUUAUUGCUAGACAUAUCUAGACACGAGUGUUAUACCUACAAACUAGUAAUAUGACUUAGACAAUUGACCACACACCAUACCACUUCAUUCAAAGCAAUAUCGCAUCAUAUCUCACCAUAUUACUCCACCGAUUGUGUUUUUAGCCCCCAGUGUCAUAAGAUAAUGAUAACACUAAUAUCGAUCACGAUAUAAAGGUCUAAUAAUCAUGGCCGCAACAUUUUUCGUAGAAGGUUCGCUCGACCACAGCUGGCAUAGAGAUCAAUAAUUAGAUCAAUAACAUCAAUUCAUAUCCUGCCGUGCCCUUACAUUACCAUCUCAAUCCACAUAGCAUUGCACAGGCAACAUCAUAUCAAAUCAUACGGCAUCACACCACAUAUCAUUAAGCUAAACCACACUACAAAACAUACCGCGUCACAACCCACACCACAUGUUCCAUUAUAUCACAUCCCAACACCGGUCAAAUAUCUCUCAAAAUUCAGUUGUCAUAAAUAAGAAAAACAGUGCAAUCUAUUCCUUCAAUAUUUGCAAAAGCCAAAAUAUCUACGACUAGAACGCCUGUGGCAUAAUUAAUUCUAAUUACUAAACUGUUCUGUAAGAAUAUUUAAUUGUACUCUCGAUCAAAGCUGUCAUAUGCAAUCAAUGGUAUAUACGAUUGUAUGACGCACAUUAUAUGUAGACUGCGUGUGUUGGAAAAAUUAAAUGCAAUUAGCCUACAAUUUAUAAGGCGUACACAGAUGAAAACAAAUCUAAAUACUUGUCAUACAUAUCGCAUCCAUUCAUUCAUUGAUAUAUACAUAUAUGUAUGUAUAUAUAUAUAUAUAUAUAUUUAGCAGAAGCAACACAGUUACUCAAGGAGCGAAAGUUUCGUGACCUUUAGUCUCUCUGUUCCUUCUGUAAAGUACUAACAUAUACUCACACUUGAGUUCUAUUUUAAUCCUGUUUCCACCAACGUAACUAUAUCUAUAUUUAGAGCAUUAUAUAUAUAUAUAUAUAUAUAUAUAUAUAUAUAUAUAUAUAUAUAUAUAUAUAUAGAGAGAGAGAGAGAGAGAGAGAGAGAGAGAGACCAUUUUAGCUCGACAAUUAUAAUUAUAUGAGUGAGACAUUGCAACCUGUUGAUAUGAAUUACUGGUCCUUAAGCAAAAGUCAGAGAAAGAUUUUAAUGACCAGUUACAAUUGUUUCUCUACAACCUCUGCUUUCAACAUCAGUUCAAGUGAAAGCAAAAUUGAUACAAAAACAAUUACAACUGAUUAUUAAAUUCUUUCUUUGUUUCCUGUGGAUUUUAAUUUACGCCUCGCUAAACCUACACAACAGUUUCACCGUCGUGAAACGUGGAGUUUCAACAUUUCGAUAUUAGACUGCAAUCCGAUAGUGUAGAAAGCCUGAAGCUCUAACUGAGUACUGCAUUGGAAUUACCGUAUCUUCCUUCCCUGAAGGAAGAUGGGCUUUGAGCAAUCUCAAGUAUAAUCAGCCAAAAUUGCCAAGAUAAUCUGGUACUUGACUGAGGAAAGAAAACUUCGAAUGACUCGUCUUUGUUUUCUUUGUAUCGUCUAUCUGGAUGUUUUGUUGUCCCAUUUUUGUAUCACCUAACUGUCCGGAUGUUUUGCGUUCUUGUCCCAUUUUUGUAUUUUAUAUAUAUCAAAUACAGACUAGAAAGUACCUGAAAAAGUUACACUAAGGUACAUUAUAGUAUACACAAUAUUGUACAAACUAGACAAGCCAAUAUAUUUCUGUUGAAACGUUCGUAACUUAUAAAUAAACUAUCAGAUACUAUUCUGUAAGGAAAAAAAUAUAACUGAUUUUGAAGAAACUAAUAAGUUAAUAUCUUUUUCUGGUAAUAGAGGUUUUCUUAAAUACGCUUUAACAGGAGUGUCAAAGUUUGCAGUACCUGGUUAAAUGUCAGUUAACUAACAGGAAAUACACAGUUUUCAUCUGCUACGAAGCGGUGAGCUGGCAGUAUCGUUACUAUGCCAGUAAAAUUGCUUUGAGGUAUGACUUCCAACUUUACGUUCUGAGUUCAAAUGCUACCCGGUCAACUUUGCCCUUUAUCCUUUUGCGGUCGAUAAAAUAAGUACUAGUUGAACACUGGGGAUGAUGUAAUCGACUUACUCCCUCCCCCAAAAUUACUGGCCUUCAGCCAAAGUUUGAAACCAUAUUUCAGGUACUAGAAAAUGUUACUAUUAUUAAUUUAGGGUUUUGACGAUUAUAUUAACCAUUGAACUUCAUCUGUCCGAUAUAUAUUCGUUCAAUCUCUGUUAGUAGAAUGGCUAAGUUAUGGGACACAAAAUAAGACAGCAUAGACACUGCUUGUUUCAAGUAUCUGUUCAAUAAAAUUUUCACAAUUUAUAUCUAGAAAAUUCCACAUUUUCCACGGAUAAACAUGCUGCAGUCUCAAACGAUUAAAUACGCUCCAUUUCUGAAUAACUUGGUAUUUCGCCGCCAUAUUUUCUUCCCAUGUACACUUUUUCACAUUGGAAAUUUUACACAUUUCAUUAUUAUUUAAUAUUAUUUUCUCCCUACACAAUCUGGCUAUUAUGCACAUUUACACAGAAAAAUUUUCCGUCUAAUCUCAGUAAAACUAUUUUUAUUUUAAAAUGCCUUUUGCUUUCCUUCAUGCGCGAUAAUUUUCUUGUGAUUUUGUUUUUUCUUCAUUUGCUCUGAUCAAUAUUUUCCUUUACAUUUUUAUGUAUAUUUAUGCAUCUAUCUUUGUAUGUACUUGUUUAUUUAUACACGUCAACGAUAUCUUAUUAUUUUUGCAUUAUUUUCAAUAAAAAUAUUUCGUAUAUUUACAUAUUACAUAGCUGCAUUGAUUCUUUUCUAAAACUUUCCUGCUUCUUUUCCAUUUCUUCUCUCUUUCUAACCAGCUACCCCAACACCCCAAUCACUUAUUUCCUAUAGACGUGGUGAUAUUGUCAACCAAUAACAUGAUUUUGUUUCGACCUUAUCCAAUCAAAACACGUCUACAUAUAAAAAAAAUUCUCUUCAGUGAUGCUUGUAAACAAUUUUUUUUACAUAUCAUAAUCCUUCGAAAAUUCGGGGGGAAAAAAACUCGGAGUAAUAAUUUGUUAAAUUUUAGCUUCAAAUUUGAUAUAAUAGAAUAUAAUAUAAUAUAACGGGCAAGGCUGUAUGGUUAAGAGACCAUGAGGUGUCAGGUUCAGUCACAUUGGACAGCAUCUUGUGUAAUGGCUACCUAUUGUAGUACCGGAUCGACUGAUGCCUUGUAAGUGAAGUUGGUUGGCGGAAUCUGUGUGGAAACCCGACGUAUAUGUAUGAGUGUGCUUUUGUGAUUGUCUCCCCGUCUACAGCUUGACAACUGGUGUUUACAUCCCCAUGACUUAGUGGCUCAGCAAAAUAGAUCAAUAGAAUAAGUACCAGAUUUUAAAAAACUUUUUAAAAUAAGAGAUUGGGUCGAUUUGUACCUAUGAAACCACGAGGUGUGUGCGUGUGUGCGUGUGUGUGAGAUGUGUGUAUGUGUGUGUGUGUGUGUGAGGCGUGUGUGUGUGUGAAGUGUCUGUGUGUGAGUAUUUGCAUGUGUAUACACGCAUAUGUACGCAUAUUAUACAGUAAUUAUGACACACAAUUUGCUAUUUCAGUCGAAAACUCUGCACAACGGACACCACUAGGUUUCAGGGAUUAUCAAGAGAAAAUAUGCACCGUUUCGGGACCUUCCUCUCGACGACAUUCGAGAAAAUAUGAUAAACAGAAGUAUAUUUUAUUCCUUCCCAAUUUACGUUGCACAGUUGUGGUUUUUUUGAAUUCUGCUUUGAUUGUUUCAAUGGCAAUUAGAAGCUUAACCACAACGGAUAAUCAGGGACAAACCUGUAUUGCAUUAGCUUACUCAGUAAAGUGCCUCUCUGAUGAUCUUUUGUGGUUAAGCAUCCAAUUACAUUUCAAACACCCAAUGCAGAGUGUUUUAAACAAUCACCAUGAGGAAAAUUAUUGAUAGACAGGAAGCAAAUAAUAUCAUAAUAUCUUCUACGUUAGGCGUAGGAGUGGCUGUGUGGUAAGUAGCUUGCUUGCGAACCACAUGUCUUGGGCAAGUGUCUUCUACAAUAGCCUCGGGCCGACCAAAGCCUUGUGAGUGGAUUUGGUAGACGGAAGCUGAAAGAAACCCGUCGUAUAUAUGUAUAUAUACGUAUGUAUGUAUGUAUGUAUGUAUGUAUGUAUGUAUGUAUGUAUGUAUGUAUGUAUGUAUGUAUGUAUGUAUGUAUGUGUGUGUAUAUGUUUGUGUAUCUGUGUUUGUUGCACCAAUAUCACUUGACAAUCGAUACUGGUGUGUUUACGUCCGCGUAACUUAGCAAUUCGGCAAAAGAGACCGAUAGAAUAAGUACUAGAUAGGCAUCCAAAGAAUAAGUCCUAGGGUCGAUUUGCUCGACUCAAUGCGGUGCUCCAGCGUGGCCACAAUCAAAUGGCUGAAACAAGUAAAAGAGUAUUUAUUUUGUGCAUUAUAACCAGUAAUAUUUCUAAGUAUAACAGUAACCAGACCACUAUAAUGGAAGCAGACUGCCUCAUGGCAAUCUACGUUGAGCUUUAAACUCCAAUGCCUCAGCCAUACAACUAAUUGUACACGCAAGA
rnacentral:lncRNA from 1 species